UGGACACCGUAAUAGAUUGGAUCCCAGGAAUGAGAGAUAUCCGUUUAAGGGAUCUCCCGACCUUCGCGCGAAACACAAAUCUGGAUGACACCGGAUUUAACUUCAUCAUGGAAGAAACCGAAAGAGCUCAUGAAGCUUCAGCAGUUGUUCUUCAUACUUUUCAUGCCUUGGAGACAGAUGUUUUGGAAGCUCUCUCAUCUAUGCUUCCCCAUGUGUACACCGUUGGCCCUCUUCAAUUGCAUCUCAAUCAGAUACCAGAGCACCCUUUGAAAAUGGGAUACAGUCCAUGGAAAGAAGAAACUGAAUGCCUCGAGUGGCUAAACACCAAGGCACCAAACUCAGUUGUCUAUGUGAAUUUCGGCAGUGUAGCAGUCGUGACACCAGAACAGCUUGUGGAGUUUGGGUGGGGACUUGCAAAUAGCAAGCUUCCAUUCUUUUGGGUAAUUAGACCUGAUCUAGUUGUUGGAGAAUCAGCUAUUUUGCCGCCUGAGUUUGUGGCUGAAACUAAGGAAAGAAGUCUAAUAGCUGGGUGGUGCCCACAAGAGCAAGUCCUCAACCACCCCUCAGUUGGAGGAUUUUUAAUGCACAGCGGUUGGAAUUCAACAGUUGAGAGCCUUACUGCAGGAGUUCCUAUGCUCUGUUGGCCAUUCUUCGGGGACCAGCAAAUGGACUGUCGCUAUACUUGCAAUGAAUGGGGAAUUGGCAUGGAGAUUAGUGAUGAUGCGAAGAGGGAAGAGGUAGAGAAGCUUAUCAAAGAGUUAAUGGAGGGAGAGAAGGGUAAGAAGAUGAAAAAUAAGGUCAUGGAGUGGAAGAAACUUGCAGAAGAAGCUACUGGUCCACAUGGUUCUUCAUCCACAAACUUAGACAAUUUAGUGAAUCAAGUGCUAUUGAGAAAAAGUUAAGAUGUUUCCAUAAGAAUAUUGAUGUUAUUAAUUAUCAUUUCCAUUGCCAUUGUCUCAAAUAAUCAACUAUCUGGCAAUAUAUAUGUACUACUGGUCUGUAACCAUGAUGCGUACUAUAUCUAGAAUUUUAUUCUGAUUAAGGUUUCACUACGCUUCAGGCCUUUAACUCUAAAAUCUUAUUGGAGAAUCGGCUAAUAUUUAAUUAUUUUUUAUACGUAUUUCCUUUUUACUGUGUUCUAUACAUAUUUAAUUGGAUUACUACUCUCGAGGAAGAUUAUCCUUAAGUAUUAUAUUCAACAAAUUACUAUUCAUGUGUCAGUUGUUUUACAUUUAUUGUAUUAAAUCAAUACUCACCAAUUCUUUAAGGUGUGAGAUAAUUAGUCACAAAUAAUGGUGACUAGUAACCAAAGUCAUUGACCACCCAUUCAAAUGUCACCAAAACUAUUGUGUUGCUAUACAAAUAUGACUAAUGCUUUCUAUUUUGUCGCCGGAUCAAGGCCGUGAAGUUCCGGGUUAAACCGUGAGUUUCUGAAGCCGAUUCUGACCACUUGCCGUCCGAAUUGGACUUGGGUGUUUGAAUAAAAUGUUCCACUCGUCGAGUAGAACCUGUAGCCGGGAGGGGUGGCUUGUAGUUUGGAGAUUUUCCGGUGAAGCUUUAUCGCUUUGGACACCCGCGCGUGUGGCGGUACGUGGGCACUAUAGCAGAGGGUCAUUAUUGUCCCAAUGCGAUCUCCUGGUUGUCACGAGUACGUAGGAAUUCGCGGAUCUCAAUUCGGAUGUCGUUUGACUAUCGAACGGAUUUUCGCAUAGUGUGCGUUAUCCGGGUUCGAUAGGUUCUGACCGUUGGAUCAUUUCCCAAUUAAAUUAUGUUGUUCUAGGUAUUCCUAGGAUCGUGUAGGACUUCGCAGAUCGUGAAUCGGAGCCCGGAUGUUCCAAUUCAAUAACUUAAAGUUUGAGUUUUAUAUUAACCGUCUGAUCGUGCGAUCGUAAGCGAUCUAACCGUCUGUUUCAGACCAAACUUGCGAGACGGGUAUCUUAGACCUUGUGGAACCUUUAGGAACUUACGGAUUGUAAAACGGAGGUCGUGGGUCCCGUGGACCCGGUUGACCUGAAUUGGGAAGUUUGACCGCCGGUUGACCGAGUGUCUCCCGAAGUUGUUCCAUCGUCCAAAUUGAGUAGUUGGACCUUAGAAUGUCUCAUUCCUAGUACACUUACUAGAAACCUGGGAAAUUAGGAUAUUUAAUUCAAAGUACUCGUUCGAAACGCUUCGUAUUAAUCUUGUGUACGUAUUCUGAAUUAGGUACUUCGACCACGCAUACGCAGCAGGCGGGACCCUCUCAGGGUCAAGCAGCGUGGGACUACUUGUGAGUGAACUUUGUUUUCAAAUCUUAUACAUGUUUUUAUUGAUGAAAGAUUUAUGCAUAAUGUUUUUAAUAAUUUAUUGAAUAUAUUAUAUUCAUGGGUUGAAUUUGAUGUUUGUAUAGCGCUUUGUCAAUAUAUUGUGGGUUUGGCAUUGUUGGGUAUUGAAAGCAUAUUUUAUAUGGAUUUUGGGAAAUAUUAUGCAUGAUGUUUUAAACGGUAUUUUGGAUAUAUUAUUUAUGAAAUUGUUGAAAGUGAUAUUUUUAUGAGGCAUUGAAAAUAUAUUUUGGGUUUUGACAUAUUUGAGUAUCUUGAGUAUGAAUAUAUGGAUUUUGAGGAUUUCUAUAUAUAUUUGGCUAUGUGUGAGGUACUUGGGUUGUUGAGAUGAGAUUGUGGAAAGUGGUGAGUAUAGAAUGUCAGUUUGGUGUGCUAUAAGCACUACCCUAUGUACCUCCCCUGAUUUGGAACUUGGAUAUGGAGACUUGAGAUACUUGGAAUUGUCGGAACCCGGGGCAUCCUUGACGGGAUGUUGCUGUAGACCCUUGAUUGGGUAGUCUGCGCUCGUAGGACUGAUCACAGACGUAUGAGUUUUGAGGUUAUCGACGGUACGUGCUGGCUGAGAGUUGGUCCCCCAGUUGGACGGCUCGUUCCCUAGUCACAUAGUGGAUUGAGGACUUUUCAUGAGGACUCUGCCAGGGUGACUAGUCAAACAAUCCCCCGGUUGGAUUGUUUCCCCGGUACAACUAGGUGAUGGUCAUAUUUAUAAUAUAUAUAUCUCUUAUAUGAUAUAUUUAUAUAUAUAUCUAUUCAUUCAUUUUUGUUUCUCGGUGUGGAUACUUCCUUGCCGGUCGUACCAAUGGGUACGCUUUCGAGAGUUUAGUUGUGAGAUUUAUAAGUUUUGGAUGGUGGGUUUUGUAAAGCGUUCUUUAUGGAUUUCGAACUUCGUAUCUGGUAUUGAUUUGUUUUGAUAUAUAUAUUAUAUAUAUAUAUAUAUAUUUGAGUAUGAUGGUUUUGAGAUGCAUGGGAUUUCUUGCAUGGUUUUCUAAACGGUGGGGUUAUAUUACGUUGGUUUACACUGAACUGAAUUUAUUUUUGUCCACUCACAAUUUUCUAUUUUGCGCCCCCCAGCCAGUAGUUGACUGAGCUCCGCAGCAGAGCCGGAUCAUGAGCUUCCGAGCCUUGAGUCUUCGUAGGACUCUUUCUUCAUGUUUUUCCCUUUGAACUCUGUCUUAUUGAAAUUGAAGUUCUUAGCCAUGCUCUGUUAUCGCCCCUGUUAGGGUUUGAUUUGUGAGGCCGGAGGCCAUUUGGUUGUAAACUGUUUAUUCGCUUUAAAGCAUGCUGCUGGUUGGGAUUAUUCUAUGUUUAUGCAGGUUGAAUUUUUGUUGGGUUUGUUCAAUUCACAGGGGAGACUUUGCCAAAAUUUUGGUAGAGAGUAUGGGUUUUUAGUAAGUGGACCCGGCAUCGGGAUGAUGUCGGAACAAAGACGAGAUUCGCCCUUGUUUCCGGGAAUUACGUAUAUAAUACAACUUCAAUAUUUAUAUGUAUAUUAUUUCAUUAAAUAUUUAUAUAUACAUAUGUUCUUUUGAAUAAAAGGGGUUAAAUUAUAUAUUUGUCCAUUAUUUCUUGAGAUGCCAUUAGAUGGUUAUUGGAUGCUUUCUAUACAUAUAUAUUAAUAACAUGGAUUAAGAGUUUAGACGUGGCAUCCUUACAUUGUUUUCUUGGAGAGAAAGACUAUUUCUCUCUUAUCUUAAUUAGGAUGCCGGAUGUGGCUUUUUCCAUUAAAUUAGUUGAUGCAUUACCAUCGCUAACUUACGCACGUUGUUAAUAACGUGUUGUCAUAGUAUAUUUUUAUUAUAGUGGUCACAGCCUUUGGAAAUAAAUCUCCUAGCGUUGACACAUAGCAACUUAUAAAAUAGAGUGGCAACCAAGUUAUCUUUUCGUAUAAAUAAGAUAAUGUCCUUUGUUAUUAUCCUCUCCAUUGUUACGCCAUCUCACCACCAAUAAAUAGAAGUUUUAAUGGAAGGAAGAGAUAUCAGGCAAAGGGUAAAGAGAGAGAGAGAGAGAGAGAGAUGAUGAUGAUGAAAUUCUUAGAAGAGAUAUAGGAUUUAGCUUGUAUUUUCUUAACUUGGAGAGAGAUGAUGAUGAAAUUCUUAGAAGAGAUAUAGGACUUAGCUUGUAUUUUCUUAACUUGGAGAAAUGCUUUGGAAUCGAGGUAGGAGUUUCUUGGUGACCUUUUAUAAAGAUUGAUCAAAUUAAAUUUCGUGAGCAUUAUAUCAUGCAUGAUAUUAUUAUUCGAUUAUUAUUGAUAUUGGGUGUUUAAGUGUUGUUAAUUAUCAUAUUAUUUUAUUAAUAUUGACAUGAUCAUAUGUUAUCGGUGAUGGCUAGAAUUCUUGGGUUGAUAAAGAAAGUAUGGAAAAGGGGGUAAUGGGAAGGAUCUUUUGUGUAGUUGAGUCUAACUCUUGAUAAGUACCAGGUCUCAGGGAUCCCGCAGCGCAUAUGGUUUUUAUUGGGUGAUUCAGGACUGGCGACAGGGAGUUAGACAAGAUGACUAACGAAAGGGGAAUUAUGGGAUGAUUGAAAUGGGUGUUAGUUCAUACAAAUGGGCAUUCGGGACCAAGUGGUAUAAGCAUGGUAUGGGACGUGCAAAUCUGCUUGUCCAGUUAUAUGAAUUAACAGGAGUAGAUGAAGAGCAUUCAUUCAUGCAUUAUUAUUAAUAAUGUGAUAUUUGGCUGUGUGAUUGCAUGUCACUUAAUUUAGAUAUAUCAAUCUACUGCGGUAAGGUCUCAUGUCCCUACUGAGCGGUGGUUGUUCAUUCCUCACCCUGUUUAAUUUUUCAGAUGAAUUAGUAGGCAAGACAAAGACUAAACCAGUUGAGGCUAAAUUAGAUGAGAGUGAUAGAGCUUUAUUUUUUUAAUUUUAAAGUUGUAAGAUUUUGGGAGCUAUUUUUAUAAGAAAAGUUUAUUUUAUGUUUCAACUUCCUGUUAUUCUAUUUUACUUUUUAUUUUCUCAUGCACUGGGCACGAGGUUUCCACUAACCCCCAGGUCCGAGGCGUGACAGAAUGGUAUAAGAGCUUUAGGGAUUAAAUACCCUUGGGAACUGUGGUAUAGUAUUACCACAAAGUAAAUUUGAAUUGGUGAAGUAAGUUAGUGACCUAACUUUUCAGGAGCAUAUUUCUUUUUAUGAUUAAGUGUAGUUUACGGAAUAAUUGUUUAGUAUUGUUUUAUAUAUGUUGGUUUAAUUUGGUAGAAAUAUUUGGUAAAGGUUCAAUUGUUAAGAUAGCUAGAGUAGAUGGGAAACGUGACAAUGAUAAGAAUGGUAGCAUGAGGGUAAUACUAACCAUUCAGGAUAUGGCCUUUGCAAUACGUGAAACAAAUCAACAAAACCAAGAACCCCAUCAAGAGAUUCAAGGUUGUCAAACAAUGAGUGUUAAAGGAGAAAGAUAAAUGAACAAAGAGUUCUAGGAAAUCUGAAAGUGGCUAUUGCUUCUACCUAUUUGGGAGGAGCAAGGAGACUAGAAUAACUCACUCAAGGACAUGUGUAUGCUAUUGGACAAGUGACAAAGCAAAAUGAACCUACUAUGGUAGAAGGUACAUUUCUAGUUUACAACUCAUGGGCUAAGAUAUUGUUUGACCCCGGUGCUACAAAUUCAUUCAUCUCUAUUUCGUUUGCGUUUAUUCUUGGAUUAGAAUAUGAAUUUAUGAAAUCUUCAUUAAUGGUUGGAUCUCCAUUGGGUAAAUGUGUCGAAGUUAAUAAGGUGUGUAGAUCUUGCAUAAUAGAGAUAUCAUAUCAUAAACUUGUUGUUGACCUAAUGAUAUUGGAAUUAAUGGAGUAUGAUGUAAUAUUAGGGAUGGACUUGACCCAAUUUAAAGCUAUUUUUUAUUGUGGUAGAAAGAUGGUGACUAUGACUCUUAGCGAGGGAAAACAUGUAGUUUCUAUGGAAGUAGGAAUACUCACAUCAAUCUUGGAUAAUGGAAAUUGUAAUUAUUUGAGAUUGAUUGCUUACAUGGUCACUGAGGAUCUAAGUAAUACCAAGCUUGAGCUUAUCCAAAUAGUGAAAGAUUUCGGUGAUGUUUUCCCAGAAGAAUUAUAUGGAAUCCCCCUAGAAAUGGAGUUUUUCUAUAGAUAUUUAUCCUGGCAUGUCGCCUAUAUCUAUACCUCCACAUUGAAUGGCACCAAUAGAGUUGAAGGAACUCAAAACACAACUUCAAGAACUUGAAAGUAAAGGUUUUAUUCGUCCUAGUACCUUACCAUGGAGGUUUUUUCUCCAUUCUUUGUGAAGAAAAGUGAUGGAAGUUGUAACACCCCGACCUCAAAUUUAACCCUUAUUUAAGUAUUUAAUUAUUUAAGGGCAUUUUGGUCAUAUUUUUAACCGGAGAGAGUUUGGGGCAGUGACUAUGUCACAUCUCGGGAUCAACUCCGUCGUAGCACGAUAUUGUCCGCUUUGGGCCCCCCCUCUCUGGCCCUCACGGUUUUGUUUCUGGGAGCUCACGAGCAACUUCCCAGUGGGUCACCCAUCCUGGGAUUGCUCUGGCCCCAACUCGCUUAACUUUGAAGUUCUUACGACUUCGAAGCCAGUGAGCUCCCAAAAGGCCUCGUGCUAGAUGGAUGCGGGUGUGCAUAUAUAAGGCACAUCGCCCCCUCUCCGUUGGUUGAUGUGGGAUCUUACAAUCCACCCCCCUCAAGGGCCCGACGUCCUCGUCGGCACACUCACACCACACGGCAGAGUGGCUCUGAUACCAAAUUGUCACAUCCCGGAAUCAACUCCGUCGUAGCACGAUAUUGUCCGCUUUGGGCCCCCCCUCUCUGGCCCUCACGGUUUUGUUUCUGGGAGCUCACGAGCAACUUCCCAUUGGAUCACCCAUCCUGGGAUUGCUCUGGCCCCCAACUCACUUAACUUCGAAGUUCCUACGACUCCGAAGCCAGUGAACUCCCAAAAGGCCUCGUGCUAGAUGGAUGCGGGUGUGCACAUAUAAGGCACAUCGCCCCCUCUCCGUUGGUUGAUGUGGGAUCUUACAGACUAGUAUUUUUGGAUAGGUCGUACUGAGACGAGUUCAUAGACAUGUAGUGGGCUCGAAUCGGAGUUGUAACGAGAGAGAUAUGGUCAAAAGAAGCCCAGUGGCACAAUCGUAAAUAUUUCGAAAUAGGAUUUUUUUUAUAAAAACUCAGAUUUUCUCUCUCUCUCUCUCUCUCUCUCUCUCUCUCUCUCUCUCUCUCUCUCUCUCCCGCGGGUCUCUCUCUCCUCUCUCACGCGCGCGACGGCAGCUGGCCACGUUUUGGCCGGCCGUGCUCUCCUCCGACCACCAAUGACGACGGGACCGGUACCAAAAUGACCGGGCCGUCGUCCUCUCGAGCUGCUCUAGCUGAUGGUUGGGUAGGAUUAGAUCGAUUCUUAGCGUAGACAAUUCGAUUUUCGAAUUGAAAUUCGGCCGGUUUUGGGAUCGUGAUUCCGGCCACUUCCGGUCAGUUUUUGGGGUAGGUCCAAGAACAAAAGUGGCUCCAAAUAGGGUGUUAUACCUAGGGUAGGAGUUUGGAGCCGUCGUUUUGAGAUUUUCCGGCGAAGCGUUAUCGCUUUGGGCACCCACGGGCUGCCGGAGCGUGCGGCGGCGCGUGGGCACUGUAGAAAAAGUAGCAUGUGUUCCGAUGAGAUCCUUAGGUUGUCACGAGUGCGUAGGAUUUCGCGGAUCUCAAUUCGGACGUCGUUUGACUAUCGAACGGAUAUUCGCAUAUUGCGCGUUAUCCAGGUGCGAUAGGUUGGGGCCGUUGGAUGGACCCAAAUUUAAUAUAUGUUGAUCUAGGUAUUUCUAGGAUCGUGUAGGAAUUCACGGAUUGUGAAUCGGAGCCCCGAAUGUUCCGAAAAAUAAUUUUAAAGUUUUUAUUUUAUAUUAACCGUCAGAUCGUGCGAUCGUGAGCGAUCCGACCGUCCGAUCUGAAUCAAACUUGCAGGACAAGAGUCCUAUACCUGGUAGAACCCAUAGGGACUCUCGGAUCGGAAAUUGGAGGUCGUGGGUUCCGCAGGUCCUUUUGACCAGGGUUAUAGUAGUUUGACCCUUGGUUGACCGUGAGUCUCCCGGAGUAAUCUCACCUUUCUAGGGGAGAUUAUCGGGUACUAGAUUAUUGUGGAGGGUUACACAAUAUUAGAAUUAAUUUAUAUAUUUAUAAUUAUAAUAUGUUUGUACAAGAGUACAAAAGAGUCUAGACUGUCAGUUUGGAGUGCUAUACGCACUACUUUAGGUACCUUCCCGAAUUUUGGAUUCACUACAAGCACCACCAAGUGAAAGUUAGGUCUCACAUGGCGUAGGUUAUCCGGCGUUGAGACAGGCCCCAUACGUGGCGUUGGUUGUACCGGCAUAUGGGGAGAUAUUGUGAUAUUGUGUUGAGGUCGCACGUGGCGUAGGUUAUCCGGCGUGUCGACAGACCCCAUACGUGGCGUUGGUUGUACCGGCGUAUGGGGAGAUUUUUGAUAUGAUAUUGAGGUCCCGCGUGGCGUAGGUUAACCGGCGUUGGGACAUGCCCCAUACGUGGCGUUGGUUGUACCGGCGUAUGGGGAGAGAUGUGAUAUGAUGUGCAGGUCUCGCGUGACGUAGGUUAUCCGGCGUUGUGACAGAUCCCAUACGUGGCGUUGGUUGUACCGGCGUAUGGGGAGAUAUUAUGAUAGUAUGGCAUGGUCGCACGUGGCGUAGGUUAUCCGGCGUGUUGACAGGCCCCAUACGUGGCGUUGGUUGUACUGGCGUAUGGGGAGAUAUUAUAUGAAAUACAAAGAAAUGAAAUAAGGUAUCGCCCAAGUGUGGAAUUGGGUUUUAUGGAAGAACUACGUGUGGCUUGAUCCCUCAAGGAGGGUACGUAGGCAGCCUAAGGUUAUUAGCUGCAGCCGCAGACUAAAUAUUAGUCAUAAUUGGUAUUUGAAUUGUUUGGUAGUUGGUUAAGAAUUAUUGGAAGGCCGAAGGCCAUUUGUGCGAAUUGCAUGAAAUUAUAUUGUGCAUGCUGCCAGUUGGGAAUAUUAAAUGUGUUUCCAUGCAGGUAUAAAUUUUGGGAAAUGUCCAAUUUAUAGGGGAGACUCUGCCGAAUUUUCGGCAGGAAGUCUCGAUUUUUAGUAUUUGGGCCUGAUAUCGGGAGGAUGUCGGGAAUUUCAAAGGGUUCGCCUCGAGUUCUGAAAAAUUCGGGGCGGGUCCUUUCAGAAGUCUUAGGAUGUGUUUUGUUGCAAGCUAACAAAGUAGUUGCAUACGACUUUUUUCAAUUGAAAUGACAUGAAAAGAAUUAUCUAACACAUGAUCUAGAAUUGGCAACCAUUGUUCACACACUGAAGAUAUGGAGAUAUUAUUUGUAUGGGGAACGUUUUGAACUCUUUUUGGAUCAUAAGAGUUUGAAGUAUUUAUUGACUUAGAAGGAGUUGAAUUUAAGACAAAAGCGAUGGAUGGAAUACCUGGAAGAUUAUGAUUUUGACUUACAUUAUCUUCCAGGAAAGGCUAAUGUGGUAACAGAUGCUUUAAGUCAAAAUCCUCAAGGAAUUGUAGCAAGUUUGUAUGAUCAAAGGUGGAAGAUGGUGGAGUCUCUUUACGAUUUUGACCUAUAUAUAGGUGCGCAUGAGGAUUGUGCAUAUCUAUGUAAUUUGGUAACUCACCCCACUUUGAUUGGAAGAAUAAUUGAGGCACAGGAUUUGGAUUCUAUGUCUGAAGACAUUCGAACUAAGAUUACAACUAGAAAGACACAGGAAGGAUGGAGUAUCCUCACAAGCAGUGGAUUAAGAUAUUUGAAUAAGUUUUAUGUACCAAAUAUUUCUGAUAUAAGAAAUGAAGUUCUCAGAGAAAGUCAUCAUUCACCUAUACAAUUCAUUCUAGAGGGACAAAGAUGUAUCGUGAUUUUAGACGUAAUUUUUGGUGGAGUAGUAUGAAGGGAGGUGUAGAAAUAUUUGCAGCAAAAUGUCUAACAUGUUAGCUGGUGAAAACUGAAUAUCAGAAACCGUCAAGUCCAUUACAGCCAUUACCAGUAGUAGAAUGGAAAUGAGAUCAUAUAACAAUGAAUUUUGUUACAGGUUUACCUAAAUAUCCAAAAGGACGUGAUGCAAUAUGGAUUAUGGUGGAUCGUUUGACCAAAUCUGCACAUUUCAUACAGUCAAAUCAAUGGAUUCCACUAAAAAUCUUGGAAAGCUUUACGUUAGAGAUAUAGUAAGAUUACAUGGAAUUCCUAUUUUGAUUGUAUCGGAUAGAGAUUCCAAGUUUACUUCUAAAAUUUGGGGAAGCUUACAGAAAGUGUUAGGUACGCAACUAAAUUUGGUACCGCCUUUUAUCCCCAAACUUAUGGACAAUUGGAGAGAACUAUUCAAAUUUUAGAGGACUUGUUGAGAGCAUGUAUUCUAGAUUUGGAGGGAAGUAGUUGGGAAGAUCAUUUAGUGGUAGUAGAGUUUGCCUACAACAACUAUCAGUCUAGCAUUCAGAUACCACCUUAUGAAGCUUUAUAUUGAAGACCUUGUCAAUCACCUGUGUGUUGGACUGAAGUAGGAGAAACUGUAUUGCUAGGACCUGGUUUGGUACAAGAGACAACUGAAGGGAUUAAAGUUAUCAAGCAACGUCUUUUAACUACUCAAAGUUGACAAAAGAACUAUGUAGACCGAAGAAGGAAAACAUUAAGUAUUGACGUGGGUGAUUAUGUAUUUCUUAAACUCUCACUACUAAGUGGAGUAAAAAAAGGUUUGGGAAGACUGGAAAAUUAUCACCAAAGUUUGUUGGACCAUUUGAAAUCUUAGAAAGGAUGGGUGAAGUAGCUUAUAAGUCAGCAUUACCACCUCAACUGUUGAAUGUACCUGAUGUUUUCCUUGUUUCUAUGCUUCGAAAGUAUGAGCCUGAUCCAACCCAUUUUCUAGAUUGAGGAGAGCUCAAUUUAGAUGAGGAACUGUCAUUUGAAGAAAGACCGACUCAGAUUUUGGAUUCUAAGGAACAAGUGUGACGUACGAAAAUAAUAUCAUUGGUCAAAAUUCUUUGGGUACAUGGGAAUACAUUGAAAGCUACAUGGGAAUUAGAAACUAAAAUGUGUAAGAAGUACCCAUAAAUUUUUCCCUUAUUCCAGUUUUUCUUUUUAAAUUUCGAGGACGAAAUUUCUUUAAGGAGAGUAGAUUGUGAGAGUCUGUUUCUUAAAUGUUCAUUAAAGAAAAAUAAAUGUUAUUAUAUAUUCUUAAGUAAUUAUCUUGCUAAGAAGGAAAUGUAUAUUUAUAAUUGUUUUACGUUUAUAAUACCAUUUCAAUAGUUAUGUGUAUAUUAUUUCAUUAAAUAUUUAUAUAUACAUAUGUUCUUUUGAAUAAAAAGGGUUAAAUUAUAUAUUUGUUCAUUAUUUCUUGGGAUGCCAUUAGAUGGUUAUUGGGUGCUUUAUAUACAUAUAUAUUAAUAACAUGGAUUAACAGUUUAGACCUGGCAUCCUUACAUUGUUUUCUUGGAGAGAAUGACUGUUUCUCUCUUAUCUUAAUUUGGAUGCUGGAUGUGGUUUUUUCCAUUAAAUUAGUUGAUGCAUUACCAUGCAUUUGGACAGCUCAUGCUUACAAUUUGGUGAAUAAGUCUAUCUUAGCUUGAGGUGGAGUUUAUAAUUUCAAUAGGUGUCACAGCCUUUGGAAAUAAAUCUCCUGGCGUUGACACAUAUAUAGCAACUUAUAAAAAAGAGUGGCGACCAAGUUAUCUUUUUGUAUAGAUAAGAUAAUGGGCUUUGUUAUUAUCCUCUCCACUGUUACCGCCAUCUCACCACCUAUAAAUAGGAGUGUUAAUGAAAGGAACAUAUAUCAUGCAACAUGAGAGAGAGAGAGAGAUAUGAUGAUGAUGAUGAAAUCCUUGGAAGAGAUUAGGACUUAACUUGUAUUUUCUUAACAUAGAGAUAUGUUUUGGAAUCGAGAUAGGAGUUUUUUGGUGACCUUUUACAAAGAUUGAUCUAAUUAAAUUUUGUGAGCACUAUAUUAUGCAUGAUAUUAUUAUUUGAUUAUUAUUGAUAUUGGGUGUUUAAGUGUUGUUAAUUAUCAUCAUAUUAUUUUAUUCAUAUUGACAUGAUCAUAUGUUAUCGGUGAUGGCUGGAAUUCUUGGGUUGAUAAAGAAAGUAAGAAAAAGGGGGUAAUGGGAAGGAUCUUUUGUGUAGUUGAGUCUAACUCUUGGCAGGUACCAGGUCUCAAGGAUCUCGCAGUGCACAUGGUUUUCAUUGGGUGAUUCGGGACUAGCGACAGAGAGUUAGACAAGAUGACUAACGAAAUGGGAAUUAUGAGAAGAUUGAAAUGGGUGUUUGUUCAUAUAAAUGGGCAUUUGGGGCCAAGUGGUAUAAGCAUGGUAUGGGACGUGCAGGUCUGCUUGUGCAGUCAUAUGAAUUAACAGGAGUAGAUGAAGAGCAUUCAUUCAUGCAUUAUUAUUAAUAAUGUGAUAUUUAGCUGUGUGAUUACAUGUCACUUAAUUUAGUUAAAUCAAUCUACUGUGGUGAGGUCUCAUGUCCCUACUGAGUGGUGGUUUCUCAUCCCUCACCCUGUUUAAUUUUUCAGAUGAAUUAGUGGGCAUGACAAGGACUAAAUCAGUUGAGGCUGAACUAGAUGAGAGUGAUAGAGCUUUAUUUUUUUUAAUUGUAAAGUUUUAAGAUUUUGGGAGCUAUUUUUAUAAGAAAAGUUUAUUUUAUGUUUCGGCUUCUUUUUAUUCUAUUUUACCUUUUAUUUUCUCAUGCACUGGGCACGGGGUUUCCACUGACCCACGGGUCCGGGGCGUGACAAGGGUUAAUCGUUUUAUUCGUUCUUGGACUUAGACCUGGUUUGCAUUUGAGUACCUCAAUUUCCAAAAUCGUUCUCAUAUUCCUUUAACUUCACUUUUGUUAGGACAAAUGGUCCAGCCAUUAAUUUUGUUAACUUUUUCUGUUAAAUGCAGGGGCAAAAUGGUAUUUUUAUAUUAAAACCAAAAGAAUAAAUAAAUAAUCACAUCUUUAAAAUAACAAUAAAAUCAAAUCAAAUAAAAAACCAACCAAAAAAAAAUCGAGUUUGGGAAGAGUAGAAAUCGGGAUAGAGGGGGAGAGAGAGAGUUUAAUUUUAAUUUUUUAUUCAUAUUUUAAUCAAUUUAAUACAAAAUGAGGAGAACUACCCCCCCUCUUCUUCUCUUUUUAUUCACUACAUGCCAUGUAAAGAGAAGAACUAAAUGAGGUUAGGUUAUUAAAAUUGGGUGAGCUAGGAUUCUAUUUUUUUUGGCUGGAAAAAAGAAGCCACCUGGGUUGCCAAACUAAAGGUACAUCCGUGGGUAAGCUAGGAUUUUAUUUUUUUUUGGCUUGAAAAAAGAAGCCACCUGGGCUAUAGCCCAGGUUUGCCAAACUAAAGGAAGGUCUGUGGGUGGGCUAGGAUUUUAUUUUUUUGGCUGGAAAAAAGAAGUAGGUUUGCCAAACUAAAGAUCCGUCUCUGUUUCCACUUCAACCCAUUUACAAUCAAACUAUUUUAUGACUAAAACACUUCACAUUAAUGAUAAUUUUAUUAAACUAAAACACAGUUUUAUGAGUCUACUUAUGGAGAAAAACUUAGUUGCAAUGAGAUAACACUAUUUUGCUAUCCUUAUUUCAUAAAAGUCUUUCUCCUACUUAUGACUAUGGUUGCAGCCUGCAAUAUUCUUAAAAUAAUAAAAAAAUAAAAAAAAUAAAAAAAGUAGCUAUUCUGAAGGACAUUACCUCACUUUUGCUGUAUAAAUACUCUGCAUUUGCAAGCACUGCAAUGCACACACAAAAGCUAAGAUGGAUUCCAGAGAAGUAGCAACUAAGCCACACGCUGUUUGCAUUCCAUUCCCUUAUCAAAGCCAUAUAAAGGCAAUGCUUAAAUUUGCAAAGCUCCUCCACCACAGAGGUUUUCAUAUAACCUUUGUUAACACAGAGUUCAAUCACAAGCGCUUUCUUAAAUCUCAAGGACCCAAUUCCCUUGUUGGCUUGCCUGAUUUUCAAUUCGAUGCCUUCCCGGAUAGCCUUCCGGAUUCAGAUGAAGAUGCCACACCAGAUGCCACCUUGCUUUGUGAAUCCAUCAGAAAAAAAAAAUUCUUGGCUCCCUUUCAUGCCCUCCUUGCAAAACUCAACAAUGAUGCCAUAUCAACAUCCCACAAUCCUCCUGUGACUUGCAUAGUUUCAGAUGGUUUCAUGUCCGCGUUCACAAUCACAGCUGCUGAAGAAAUCGGAGUCCCUAUAGCGCUGUUCUACACUAUAGCUGCCUGCAGCUUCAUGGGAUUUAAACAACUUCGCGCUGUGGUCGAAAAAGGACUUUUUCCACUCAAAGGUGAAUAACUACGAAUUAAAAGCAAUUGUUGUUUCUAAACAUGCAAAUGAAAUGUUUCUUCAAUUGAAUUUCAUUUGUCUAUUGCAGAUGAGAGCUGUUUCAAAAAUGGCUAUCUGGACACCGUAAUAGAUUGGAUCCCAGGAAUGAGAGAUAUCCGUUUAAGGGAUCUCCCGACCUUCGCGCGAAACACAAAUCUGGAUGACACCGGAUUUAACUUCAUCAUGGAAGAAACCGAAAGAGCUCAUGAAGCUUCAGCAGUUGUUCUUCAUACUUUUCAUGCCUUGGAGACAGAUGUUUUGGAAGCUCUCUCAUCUAUGCUUCCCCAUGUGUACACCGUUGGCCCUCUUCAAUUGCAUCUCAAUCAGAUACCAGAGCACCCUUUGAAAAUGGGAUACAGUCCAUGGAAAGAAGAAACUGAAUGCCUCGAGUGGCUAAACACCAAGGCACCAAACUCAGUUGUCUAUGUGAAUUUCGGCAGUGUAGCAGUCGUGACACCAGAACAGCUUGUGGAGUUUGGGUGGGGACUUGCAAAUAGCAAGCUUCCAUUCUUUUGGGUAAUUAGACCUGAUCUAGUUGUUGGAGAAUCAGCUAUUUUGCCGCCUGAGUUUGUGGCUGAAACUAAGGAAAGAAGUCUAAUAGCUGGGUGGUGCCCACAAGAGCAAGUCCUCAACCACCCCUCAGUUGGAGGAUUUUUAAUGCACAGCGGUUGGAAUUCAACAGUUGAGAGCCUUACUGCAGGAGUUCCUAUGCUCUGUUGGCCAUUCUUCGGGGACCAGCAAAUGGACUGUCGCUAUACUUGCAAUGAAUGGGGAAUUGGCAUGGAGAUUAGUGAUGAUGCGAAGAGGGAAGAGGUAGAGAAGCUUAUCAAAGAGUUAAUGGAGGGAGAGAAGGGUAAGAAGAUGAAAAAUAAGGUCAUGGAGUGGAAGAAACUUGCAGAAGAAGCUACUGGUCCACAUGGUUCUUCAUCCACAAACUUAGACAAUUUAGUGAAUCAAGUGCUAUUGAGAAAAAGUUAAGAUGUUUCCAUAAGAAUAUUGAUGUUAUUAAUUAUCAUUUCCAUUGCCAUUGUCUCAAAUAAUCAACUAUCUGGCAAUAUAUAUGUACUACUGGUCUGUAACCAUGAUGCGUACUAUAUCUAGAAUUUUAUUCUAAUUAAGGUUUUACUACGCUUCAGGCCUUCAACUCUAAAGUCUUUAUCAUUUUUCAGGCAAUUGUGCACUAACCAUGAUGCAUUAUAUUAAUAAUAUUUUAAAUCAAUAGAUUAAAAAUAUAAAGCUAUACCUUUUUCCACAAAUACCCCCGAGCUUAACGGGUUAACGGGUAUUCGUGAAUUGACACGACACGACACGAUAGCUUAACGGGUGACUAACGGAUCAAUACGAUAUCAACAUGACACCAUAACCCAUGCCUGAAUACUGAAUUUUUCGUGCGAAUUCAUGUCGUAUUAAUGGAUCGUGCACAAUAUUGUCUCCUCUAAACUUAGAUACUUUAGUCGAUUUAAGAAAAAACUAGAUGUUAUCCAUAACCAUAUCUCUAUUAUCACUGUUGAUAUCUCUAUUAUUACUCCAUAUAGCGUCCUUAUUCGUGUAUGAUGUCAUACGGAGCCUAAUAACAUGUUUUCUUGUUUUGUUCUAAAAAAGUUUUUUGAAAGAAGUAGAGACCAGUAAAUGAAAUUAAAAAAAAUUAAACCUCCAAUAAAUAUGGCCAUGGAAACAUGGUCUAACGCUAAAUAUAAAAUAAAAUAAGGGCAACUAAACUUGCCAUGGCCACAGACAUAGUGGCUUAAUAGUAAGUAAAUAAAAUUAACUUUGGAUAAACUGUGGUGAGGGAGUUGGAAUAGUACACAUUGAAAAGUAUCUCAGUUUUGCUUUAUAAAUAAUCUGCAUUUGCAAGCACUGCAAUGCACACACAAAAUCUCAGAUGGAUUCCACAGAAGUAGCUACUAAGCCACAUGCUGUUUGCAUUCCAUUCCCUGCUCAAAGCCAUAUAAAGGCAAUGCUUAAAUUUGCAAAGCUCCUCCACCAUAGAGGUUUUCAUAUAACCUUUGUUAACACACAGUUCAAUCACAAGCGCUUUCUUAAAACUCUAGGAUCCAAUUCCCUCGAUGGCUUGCCUGAUUUUCAAUUUGAAGCCAUCCCGGAUAGCCUUCCAGAUUCAAAUGAAGACACCACACAAGAUGUCGUUAAAAAAAUAAAGUUAGACCAUUUUCAACAAAGAAAUUAUGUGGAAGUUUCUUUAAAACCUUGUAUAAUUAUGUUGGAGAUAUUGACCUGAUGAUAAAGCAUAAUCUCUCAUUAAUACUUGAAUGCUUAAUCUGAAAGAAAGAAAAGAAAAGAAACAAGAAAACACAGACAAGGUUAAAGAAAAGACAAAAUCCAAAAGCUUACUUUGUUUCCUCGUCUUUCCAAAUCCAAAUCCAAAUCCAAACGCCACUCAAAUCAGUUAGGAAGUUUCUGAUUGUUUAUUUCAUUUCAUACUAGAUACAAAGAUAACAACAGCUUGAGUAAAAAAGAACAAAAUUGAUAUUUUAAAUUAGAUGCUCCAUUUCAAACCAUAGACACUCCUCUAACGUGAGCUUGAUGAUUAGGGACAAAACCACAUGAAUGUUAUUUCACCAUAAUGUUCGUUUUAGUCAUUGUACACAACUCACAACACUUUCACACAAAAAAUUAUUAUUGUACCAACAUCACUUUUAAUAAAAAGUUGUCAAAAGACAAACUGCUUUCUUUCACAACUGAUUUCUCUCACAGCAAAUCUGACUGUAAUUAUUUUCACAUCACAACAAUGCCAAACUAGCUUCGUUUUAGAUCCUUAUUUCAAUUCCUACUUGGUUUAGGAUUCCUAUUUUAAUCUUAUUUCCUACCCACUAUAAAUAAGGCUUUUAGGAAGUCACAUUAUUAUUUGUGGCUAGAGAGUGUCUAUGAGUGUGGUUACGAACCAAAUUACAAGUGAGUGUGAGGAAUUGGUAACAAUUCACUAUAGAAAUACAAGAGAAAAAAUAAUUUCAAACACUCCGAAGUUUUCUUUCUACUAACUAGCCAGGUGAUGUUGAGGGAUUAAGCCUUCUUCAAUUAUACACCAAGCGAAGAAGAACCAUUGCUAAAUGGAACAAGGAAAUUACAUAAUAUUACAAAUGAACUAAGCUCUAGUGAUCUCCAUGUGCCCAAAAAUCAAACCCGAUCCAAUGCAUCUUCGUGGUUUAAUGAAUAUGGCGCUUUGCUUGAAAAAGGACUUGCACACUCAAAUAUCUUUUAUAUGCAAAGAGCUUUCAUUGAGGGAUUACUUAAAUAAGUUAUUUGGGGGAAUAAGGCCAUGGAGUGGAAAACAAUUUGAAUCUUUAUUCUGAUUGCUUGAUAUAACGUUUAAUUGGUUUAAUUGUGAAAAAUACUGUAUACCCACUAAAAUAUCAUUUACUUGUUUGUUUGUUCUGGGCAUUAAAUUCUGUUGGGUAUCUUUGUUUUUAACGUAGGCUUUCCCUUCAAUUUAUUUGAUUCCUACAAGGAAAACUUUUGCAGAAGAAGCUACUGGUCCACAUGGUUCUUCAUCCACAAACUUAGACAAUUUAGUGAAGCAAGUGCUAUUGAGAAAAAGUUAAGAUGUUUCCAUAAGAAUAUUGAUGUUAUUAAUUAUCAUUUCCAUUGCCAUUGUCUCAAAUAAUCAACUAUCUGGCAAUAUAUAUGUACUACUGGUCUGUAACCAUGAUGCAUACCAUAUCUAGAAUUUUAUUCUGAUUAAGGUUUCACUACGCUUCAGGCCUUCAACUCUAAAAUCUUAUUGGAGAAUCGGUUAAUAUUUAAUUAUUUUUUUAUACGUAUUUCCUUUUUACUGUGUUCUAUACAUAUUUAAUUUGAUUACUACUCUCAAGGAAGAUUAUCCUUAAGUCUUAUAUUCAACAAAUUACUAUUCAUGUGUCAGUUGGUUUACAUUUAUUAUAUUAAAUCAAUACUCACCAAUUCUUUAAAGUGUGAGAUAAUUAGUCACAAAUAAUGGUGACUAGUAACCAAAGUCAUUGACCACCAUUCAAAUGUCACCAAAACUGUUUUGUUGCUAUAAAAAUGUGACUAAUGCUUUCUAUUUUGUCGCCGGAUCAAGGCCGUGAAGUUCUGGGUUAAACCGUGAGUUUUUGACGCCGAUUCCGACCACUUGCCGUCCGAAUUGGACUUGGGUGUAGUUGAAUAAAAUAUUCCACUCGUCGAGUAGAACCUGUAGCCGGGAGGGUGGCUUGUAGUUUGGAGAUUUUCCGGUGAAGCUUUAUCGCUUUGGACACCUGCGCAUGUGACGGCGCGUGGGCACUGUAGCAUAGGGGCAUUAUUAUCCCAAUGUGAUCUCCUGGUUGUCAUGAGUACGUAGGAAUUUGCGGAUCUCAAUUCGGAUGUCGUUCGACUAUCGAACGGAUUUUCGCAUAGUGUGCGUUAUCCGGGUUCGAUAGGUUCUGACCGUUGGAUCAUUUCCCAAUUAAAUUAUGUUGUUCUAGGUAUUCCUAGGAUCGUGUAGGACUUCACAGAUCAUGAAUCGGAGCUCGGAUGUUCCAAUUCAAUAACUUAAAGUUUGCGUUUUAUAUUAACCGUCCGAUCGUGCGAUCGUAAACGAUCUAACCGUCCGUUUCGGACCAAACUUGCGAGACGGGUAUCUUAGACCUUGUGGAACCUUUAGGAACUUACGGAUUGUAAAACGGAGGUCGUGGGUCCCAUGGACCCGGUUGACCUGAAUUUGGAAGUUUGACCGCCGGUUGACUGAGUGUCUCCCGAAGUUGUUCCAUCGUCCAAAUUGAGUAGUUGGACCUUAGAAUGUCUCAUUCCUAGUACACUUACUAGAAACCUAGGAAAUUAGGAUAUUUAAUUCAAAGUACUCGUUUGAAACGCUUCGUAUUAAUCUUGUGUACGUAUUCUGAAUUAGGUACUCCGACCACGCAUACGCAGCAGGCGGGACCCUCUCAGGGUCAAGUAGCGUGGGAUUACUUGUGAGUGGACUUUGUUUUCAAAUCUUAUGCAUGGUUUUAUUGAUGAAAGAUUUAUGCAUAAUGUUUUUAAUGAUUUAUUGAAUAUAUUAUAUUCAUGGGUUGAAUUUGAUGUCUGUAUAGCGCUUUGUCAAUAUAUUGUGGGUUUGGCAUUGUUGGGUAUUGAAAGUAUAUUUUAUAUGGAUUUUGAGAAAUAUUAUGCAUGAUGUUUUAAACGGUAUUUUGGAUAUAUUAUUUAUGAAAUUGUUGAAAGUGAUAUUUUUAUGAGGCAUUGAAAAUAUAUUUUGGGUUUUGACAUAUUUGAGUAUCUUGAGUAUGAAUAUAUGGAUUUUGAGGAUUUCUAUAUAUAUUUGGCUAUGUGUGAGGUACUGGGGUUGUUGAGAUGAGAUUGUGGAAAGUGGUGAGUAUAGAAUGUCAGUUUGGUGUGCUAUAAGCACUACCCUAUGUACCUCCCCUGAUUUGGAACUUGGAUACGGAGACUUGAGAUACUUGGAAUUGUCGGAACCCGGGGCAUCCUUGACGGGAUGUUGCUGUAGGCCCUUGAUUGGGUAGUCUGCGCGCGUAGGACUGAUCACAGACGUACGAAUUUUGAGGUUAUCGACGGUACGUACUGGCUGAGAGUUGGUCCCCCAGUUGGAUGGCUCGUUCCCUAAUCACAUGGUGGAUUGAGGACUCUUCAUGAGGACUCUGCCAGGGUGACUAGUCAAACAAUCCCCCGGUUGGAUUGUUUCCCGGUACAACUAGGUGAUGGUCAUAUUUAUAAUAUAUAUAUAUAUAUAUCUCUUAUAUUAUAUAUUUAUAUAUAUCUAUUCAUUCAUUCUUGUUUCUCGGUGUGGAUACUUCCUUGCCGGUCGUACCAAUGGGUACGCUUUCGAGAGUUUAGUUGUGAGAUUUAUAAGUUUUGGAUGGUGGGUUUUAUAAAGUGUUCUUUAUGGAUUUCGGACUUCGUAUCUGGUAUUGAUUUGUUUUGAUAUAUAUAUAUAUUAUAUAUAUAUAUAUACUUGAGUAUGUGGUUUUGCGAUGCAUGGGAUUUCUUGCAUGGUUUUCUAAACAGUGGGGUUAUAUUAUGUUGGUUUACACUGAACUGAAUUUAUUUUUUUCUAUUCACAAUUUUCUAUUUUGCGCCCCCCAGCCAGUAGUUGACUGAGCUCCGCAGCAGAGCCGGAUCAUGAGCUUCCGAGCCUUGAGUCUUCGUAGGACUCUUUCUUCAUGUUUUUCCCUUUGAACUCUGUUUUGUUGAAAUUGAAGUUCUUAGUCAUGCUCUGUUAUCGCCCCUGUUAGGGUUUGAUUUGUGAGGCUGGAGGCCAUUUUGUUGUAAAUUGUUUAUUCGCUUUAAAGCAUGCUGCUGGUUGGGAUUAUUCUAUGUUUAUGCAGGUUGAAUUUUUAUUGGGUUUGUUCAAUUUACAGGGGAGACUCUGCCAAAAUUUUGGUAGAGAGUCUGGGUUUUUAGUAAGUGGGCCCGACAUCGGGAUGAUGUCGGAACAAAGACGGGAUUCGCCCUGGUUUCCGGGAAUUCCGAGGCGGGUCCUGUCAGUGUAUUCAUAGCUGAAUUUCUAUCUUGUAUAAAAGAAAACUACUGCAAUUAUUAUUAUCCAAGUGAAUGAAAUCAGAGGAAAAUUCCAGAUUUACUUUUCUUUCUAAUUUUCUGAGCUAACGUUCUCAACAUCCAAACACACACAGUUCCAGAUUUCUCGUCAGAAAUUUCUUCAAAAUCUUAUCAAUUAACAUUUUCCAAAAAGUUUACUAAUUAUACAUAUAACCGAUUUUCUUCUGUUUCUUUUUCCUUUAUAGCGAACGAAGGCAAUUUGUACUAGGGCCCCUUCUAGCACUGAGAACAAAAACAAACUCAUACCAAAUUGUUAAUUAGUUCAUUACAAAUCUUGUUCAAAGAUACGGGUCAUUAAUUUUAGGAAUUCUUAUGAUUUUUACGAUAAUACAAACAAGGGUUGUGAGAGUCCGUUUCUUAAAUGUUGGCUAUAGAAAAAUAAAUGAUAUUAUAUAUUCUUGGUAAGAAGGAAACGUAUAUUUAUAAUUGUUUUACGUAUAUAAUACAACUUCAAUAUUUAUAUGUAUAUUAUUUCAUUAAAUAUUUAUAUGUAUAUUAUAUUUAUAUAUACAUAUGUUCUUUUGAAUAAAAAGGGUUAAAUUAUAUAUUUGUUCAUUGUUUCUUGAGAUGCCAUUAGAUGGUUAUUGGAUGCUUUAUAUACAUAUAUAUUAAUAACAUGGAUUAAGAGUUUAGACGUGGCAUCCUUACAUUGUUUUCUUGGAGAGAAAGACUAUUUCUCUCUUAUCUUAAUUAGGAUGCCGGAUGUGGCUUUUUCCAUUAAAUUAGUUGAUGCAUUACCAUGCAUUUGCACAGCUCAUGCUUACAAUUUGGUGAGUAAGCUUUAUCUUAGCUUCAAUAGGUGUCACAGCCUUUGGAAAUAAAUCUCCUAGCGUUGACACAUAGCAACUUAUAAAAUAGAGUGGCAACCAAGUUAUCUUUUCGUAUAAAUAAGAUAAUGUCCUUUGUUAUUAUCCUCUCCAUUGUUACGCCAUCUCACCACCAAUAAAUAGAAGUUUUAAUGGAAGGAAGAGAUAUCAGGCAAAGGGUAAAGAGAGAGGGAGAGAGAGAUGAUGAUGAUGAAAUUCUUAGAAGAGAUAUAGGUAUGAUGAUGAAAUUCUUAGAAGAGAUAUAGGACUUAGCUUGUAUUUUCUUAACUUGGAGAAAUGCUUUGGAGUCGAGGUAGGAGUUUCUUGGUGACCUUUUAUAAAGAUUGAUUUUCUUGGUGACCUUUUAUAAAGAUUGAUCUAAUUAAAUUUCGUGAGCACUAUAUCAUGCAUGAUAUUAUUAUUUGAUUAUUAUUGAUAUUGGGUGUUUAAGUGUUGUUAAUUAUCAUAUUAUUUUAUUAAUAUUGACAUGAUCAUAUGUUAUCGGUAAUGGCUGGAAUUCUUGGGUUGAUAAAGAAAGUAUGGAAAAUGGGGUAAUAGGAAGGAUCUUUUGUGUAGUUGAGUCUAACUCUUGGCAGGUACCAGGUCUCAGGGAUCCCGCAGCGCACAUGGUUUUUAUUGGGUGAUUCAGGACUGGCGACAGGGAGUUAGACAAGAUGACUAACGAAAGGGGAAUUAUGGGAUGAUUGAAAUGGGUGUUAGUUCAUACAAAUGGGCAUUCGGGACCAAGUGGUAUAAGCAUGGUAUGGGACGUGCAAAUCUGCUUGUCCAGUUAUAUGAAUUAACAAGAGUAGAUGAAGAGCAUUCAUUCAUGCAUUAUUAUUAAUAAUGUGAUAUUUGGCUGUGUGAUUGCAUGUCACUUAAUUUAGUUAUAUCAAUCUACUGCGGUAAGGUCUCAUGUCCCUACUGAGCGGUGGUUGUUCAUUCCUCACUCUGUUUAAUUUUUCAGAUGAAUUAGUAGGCAAGACAAAGACUAAACCAGUUGAGGCUGAAUUAGAUGAGAGUGAUAGAGCUUUAUUUUUUUAAUUUUAAAGUUGUAAGAUUUUGGGAGCUAUUUUUAUAAGAAAAGUUUAUUUUAUGUUUCAACUUCCUGUUAUUCUAUUUUACUUUUUAUUUUCUCAUGCAUUGGGCACGGGGUUUCCACUGACCCCCAGAUCCGAGGCGUGACAGAAUGGUAUAAGAGCUUCAGGGAUUAAAUACCCUUGGGAACUGUGGUAUAGUAUUACCACAAAGUAAAUUUGAAUUGGUGAAGUAAGUUAGUGACCUAACUUUUCAGGAGCAUGUUUCUUUUAUGAUUAAGUGUAGUUUACGUAAUAAUUGUUUAGUAUUGUUUUAUAUAUGUUGGUUUAAUUUGGUAGAAAUAUUUGGUAAAGGUUCAAUUGUUAAGAUAGCUAGAGUAGAUGGGCAACGUGACAAUGAUAAGAAUGGUAGCAUGAGGGUAAUACUAACCAUUCAGGAUAUGGCCUUUGCAAUACGUGAAACGAAUCAACAAAACCAAGAACCCCAUCAAGAAAUUCAAGGUGGUCAAACAAUGAGUGUUAAAGGAGAAAGAUGAAUGAACAAAGAGUUCUAGGAAAUCUGAAAGUGGCUAUUGCUUCUACCUAUUUGGGAGGAGCAAGGAGACCAGAAUAACUCACUCAAGGAUAUGUGUAUUCUAUUGGACAAGUGACAAAGCAAAAUGAACCUACUAUGGUAGAAGGUACAUUUCUAGUUUACAACUCAUAGGCUAAGAUAUUGUUUGACCCCGGUGCUACAAAUUCAUUCAUCUCUAUUUCGUUUGCGUUUAUUCUUGGAUUAGAAUAUGAAUUUAUGAAAUCUUCAUUAAUGGUUGGUUCUCCAUUGGGUAAAUGUGUCGAAGUUAAUAAGGUGUGUAGAUCUUGCAUAAUAGAGAUAUCAUAUCAUAAACUUGUUGUUGACCUAAUGAUAUUGGAAUUAAUGGAGUAUGAUGUAAUAUAAGGGAUGGACUUGACCCAAUUUAAAGCUAUUUUUGAUUGUGGUAGAAAGAUGGUGACUAUGACUCUUAGCGAGGGAAAACAUGUAGUUUCUAUGGAAGUAGGAAUACUCACAUCAAUCUUGGAUAAUGGAAAUUGUAAUUAUUUGAGAUUGAUUGCUCACAUGGUCACUGAGGAUCUAAGUAAUACCAAGCUUGAGCUUAUCCCAAUAGUGAAAGAUUUCGGUGAUGUUUUCCCAGAAGAAUUAUAUGGAAUCCCCCUAGAAAUGGAGUUUUUCUAUAGAUAUUUAUCCUGGUAUGUCGCCUAUAUCUAUACCUCCACAUUGAAUGGCACCAGCAGAGUUGAAGGAACUCAAAACACAACUUCAAGAACUUGAAAGUAAAGGUUUUAUUCGUCCUAGUACCUUACCAUGGGGGUUUUUUCUCCAUUCUUUGCGAAGAAAAGUGAUGGAAGUCUUAGGAUGUGUUUUGUUGCAAGCUAACAAAGUAGUUGCAUACGACUUUUGUCAAUUGAAAUGACAUGAAAAGAAUUAUCUAACACAUGAUCUAGAAUUGGCAACCAUUGUUCACACACUGAAGAUAUGGAGAUAUUAUUUGUAUGGGGAACGUUUUGAACUCUUUUUAGAUCAUAAGAGUUUGAAGUAUUUAUUGACUUAGAAGGAGUUGAAUUUAAGACAAAAGCAAUGGAUGGAAUACCUAGAAGAUUAUGAUUUUGACUUACAUUAUCAUCCAGGAAAGGCUAAUGUGGUAACAAAUGCUUAAGUCAAAAUCCUCAAGGAAUUGUAGCAAGUUUGUAUGAUCAAAGGUGGAAGAUGGUGGAGUCUCUUUACGAUUUUGACCUAUAUAUAGGUGCGCAUGAGGAUUGUGCAUAUCUAUGUAAUUUGGUAACUCACCCCACUUUGAUUGAAAGAAUAAUUGAGGCACAGGAUUUGGAUUCUAUGUCUGAAGACAUUCGAACUAAGAUUACAACUAGAAAGACACAGGAAGGAUGGAGUAUCCUCACAAGCAGUGGAUUAAGAUAUUUGAAUAAGUUAUAUGUACCAAAUAUUUCUGAUAUAAGAAAUGAAGUUCUCAGAGAAAGUCAUCAUUCACCUAUACAAUUCAUCCUAGAGGGACAAAGAUGUAUCGUGAUUUUAGACGUAAUUUUUGGUGGAGUAAUAUGAAGGGAGGUGUGGAAAUAUUUGUAGCAAAAUGUCUAACAUGUUAGCUGGUGAAAACUGAAUAUCAGAAAUCGUCAAGUCCAUUACAGCCAUUACCAGUAGUAGAAUGGAAAUGAGAUCAUAUAACAAUGAAUUUUGUUACAGGUUUACCUAAAUAUCCAAAAGGACGUGAUGCAAUAUGGAUUAUGGUGGAUCGUUUGACCAAAUUUGCACAUUUCAUACCAGUCAAAUCAAUGGAUUCCACUAAAAAUCUUGGAAAGCUUUACGUUAGAGAUAUAGUAAGAUUACAUGGAAUUCCUAUUUUGAUUGUAUCGGAUAGAGAUUCCAAGUUUACUUCUAAAAUUUGGGGAAGCUUACAGAAAGUGUUAGGUACGCAACUAAAUUUGGCACUGCCUUUUAUCCCCAAACUUAUGGACAAUUGGAGAGAACUAUUCAAAUUUUAGAGGACUUGUUGAGAGCAUGUAUUCUAGAUUUGGAGGGAAGUUGGGAAGAUCAUUUAGUGGUAGUAGAGUUUGCCUACAACAACUAUCAGUCUAGCAUUCAGAUACCACCUUAUGAAGCUCUAUAUUGAAGACCUUGUCAAUCACCUGUGUGUUGGACUGAAGUAGGAGAAACUGUAUUGCUAGGACCUGAUUUGGUACAAGAGACAACUGAAGGCAUUAAAGUUAUCAAGCAACGUCUUUUAACUGCUCAAAGUUGACAAAAGAACUAUGUAGACCGAAGAAGGAAAACAUUAAGUAUUGACGUGGGUGAUAAUGUAUUUCUUAAACUCUCACUACUAAGUGGAGUAAAAAAAGGUUUGGGAAGACUGGAAAAUUAUCACCAAAGUUUGUUGGACCAUUUGAAAUCUUAGAAAGGAUGGGUGAAGUAGCUUAUAAGUCAGCAUUACCACCUCAAUUGUCGAAUGUACAUGAUGUUUUCCUUGUUUCUAUGCUUCGAAAGUAUGAGCCUGAUUCAACCCAUUUUCUAGAUUGAGGAGAGCUCAAUUUAGAUGAGGAACUGUCAUUUGAAGAAAGACCAACUCAGAUUUUGGAUUCUAAGGAACAAGUGUGACGUACGAAAAUAAUACCAUUGGUCAAAAUUCUUUGGGUACAUGGGAAUACAUUGGAAGUUACAUGGGAAUUAGAAACUGAAAUGUAUAAGAAGUACCCAUAAAUUUUUCCCUUAUUCCAGUAAGUUUUUCUUUUUAAAUUUUGAGGACAAAAUUUCUUUAAGGAGAGUAGAUUGUGAGAGUCUGUUUCUUAAAUGUUCAUUAAAGAAAAAUAAAUGUUAUUAUAUAUUCUUAAGUAAUUAUCCUGCUAAGAAGGAAAUGUAUAUUUAUAAUUGUUUUACGUUUAUAAUACCAUUUCAAUAGUUAUGUGUAUAUUAUUUCAUUAAAUAUUUAUAUAUACAUAUGUUCUUUUGAAUAAAAAGGGUUAAAUUAUAUAUUUGUUCAUUAUUUCUUGGGAUGCCAUUAGAUGGUUAUUGGGUGCUUUAUAUACAUAUAUAUAUUAAUAACAUGGAUUAACAGUUUAGACCUGGCAUCCUUACAUUGUUUUCUUGGAGAGAAAGACUGUUUCUCUCUUAUCUUAAUUUGGAUGCUGGAUGUGGUUUUUUCCAUUAAAUUAGUUGAUGCAUUACCAUGCAUUUGGACAGCUCAUGCUUACAAUUUGGUGAAUAAGUCUAUCUUAGCUUGAGGUGGAGUUUAUAAUUUCAAUAGGUGUCACAGCCUUUGGAAAUAAAUCUCCUGGCGUUGACACAUACAUAGCAACUUAUAAAAAAGAGUGGCGACCAAGUUAUCUUUUUGUAUAGAUAAGAUAAUGGGCUUUGUUAUUAUCCUCUCCACUGUUACCGCCAUCUCACCACCUAUAAAUAGGAGUGUUAAUGAAAGGAACAUAUAUCAUGCAACAUGAGAGAGAGAGAUAUGAUGAUGAUGAUGAAAUUCUUCGAAGAGAUUUAGACUUAACUUGUAUUUUCUUAACUUGGAGAUAUGCUUUGGAAUCGAGGUAGGAGUUUUUUGGUGACCUUUUACAAAGAUUGAUCUAAUUAAAUUUUGUGAGCACUAUAUUAUGCAUGAUAUUAUUAUUUGAUUAUUAUUGAUAUUGAGUGUUUAAGUGUUAUUAAUUAUCAUCAUAUUAUUUUAUUCAUAUUGACAUGAUCAUAUGUUAUCGGUGAUGGCUGGAAUUCUUGGGUUGAUAAAGAAAGUAAGAAAAAGGGGGUAAUGGGAAGGAUCUUUUGUGUAGUUGAGUCUAACUCUUGGCAGGUACCAGGUCUCAAGGAUCCCGCAGUGCACAUGGUUUUCAUUGGGUGAUUCGGGACUAGUGACAGGGAGUUAGACAAGAUGACUAACGAAAGGGGAAUUAUGAGAAGAUUGAAAUGGGUGUUAGUUCAUAUAAAUGGGCAUUUGGGGCCAAGUGGUAUAAGCAUGGUAUGGGACGUGCAGGUCUGCUUGUGCAGUUAUAUGAAUUAACAGGAGUAGAUGAAGAGUAUUCAUUCAUGCAUUAUUAUUAAUAAUGUGAUAUUUAGCUGUAUGAUUACAUGUCACUUAAUUUAGUUAUAUCAAUCUACUGUGGUGAGGUCUCAUGUCCCUACUGAGUGGUGGUUUCUCAUCCCUCACCCUGUUUAAUUUUUCAGAUGAAUUAGUGGGCAUGACAAGGACUAAACCAGUUGAGGCUGAACUAGAUGAGAGUGAUAGAGCUUUAUUUUUUUUAAUUCUAAAGUUUUAAGAUUUUGGGAGCUAUUUUUAUAAGAAAAGUUUAUUUUAUGUUUCGGCUUCUUUUUAUUCUAUUUUACCUUUUAUUUUCUCAUGCACUGGGCACGGGGUUUCCACUAAGCCCCGGGUCUGGGGCGUGACAAGGGUUAAUCGUUUUAUUCGUACUUGAACUUAGACCCGGUUUGCAUUUGAGUACCUCAAUUUCCAAAAUCGUUAUCAUAUUCCUUUAACUUCACUUUUGUUAGGACAAAUGGUCCUGCCAUUAAUUUUGUUAACUUUUUCUGUUAAAUGCAGGGGCAAAAUGGUAUUUUUAUAUUAAAACCAAAAGAAUAAAUAAAUAAUCACAUCUUUAAAAUAACAAUAAAAUCAAAUCAAAUAAAAAACCAACCAAAAAAAAAUCGAGUUUGGGAAGAGUAGAAAUCGGGAUAGAGGGGGAGAGAGAGAGUUUAAUUUUAAUUUUUUAUUCAUAUUUUAAUCAAUUUAAUACAAAAUGAGGAGAACUACCCCCCCUCUUCUUCUCUUUUUAUUCACUACAUGCCAUGUAAAGAGAAGAACUAAAUGAGGUUAGGUUAUUAAAAUUGGGUGAGCUAGGAUUCUAUUUUUUUUGGCUGGAAAAAAGAAGCCACCUGGGUUGCCAAACUAAAGGUACAUCCGUGGGUAAGCUAGGAUUUUAUUUUUUUUUGGCUUGAAAAAAGAAGCCACCUGGGCUAUAGCCCAGGUUUGCCAAACUAAAGGAAGGUCUGUGGGUGGGCUAGGAUUUUAUUUUUUUGGCUGGAAAAAAGAAGUAGGUUUGCCAAACUAAAGAUCCGUCUCUGUUUCCACUUCAACCCAUUUACAAUCAAACUAUUUUAUGACUAAAACACUUCACAUUAAUGAUAAUUUUAUUAAACUAAAACACAGUUUUAUGAGUCUACUUAUGGAGAAAAACUUAGUUGCAAUGAGAUAACACUAUUUUGCUAUCCUUAUUUCAUAAAAGUCUUUCUCCUACUUAUGACUAUGGUUGCAGCCUGCAAUAUUCUUAAAAUAAUAAAAAAAUAAAAAAAAUAAAAAAAGUAGCUAUUCUGAAGGACAUUACCUCACUUUUGCUGUAUAAAUACUCUGCAUUUGCAAGCACUGCAAUGCACACACAAAAGCUAAGAUGGAUUCCAGAGAAGUAGCAACUAAGCCACACGCUGUUUGCAUUCCAUUCCCUUAUCAAAGCCAUAUAAAGGCAAUGCUUAAAUUUGCAAAGCUCCUCCACCACAGAGGUUUUCAUAUAACCUUUGUUAACACAGAGUUCAAUCACAAGCGCUUUCUUAAAUCUCAAGGACCCAAUUCCCUUGUUGGCUUGCCUGAUUUUCAAUUCGAUGCCUUCCCGGAUAGCCUUCCGGAUUCAGAUGAAGAUGCCACACCAGAUGCCACCUUGCUUUGUGAAUCCAUCAGAAAAAAAAAAUUCUUGGCUCCCUUUCAUGCCCUCCUUGCAAAACUCAACAAUGAUGCCAUAUCAACAUCCCACAAUCCUCCUGUGACUUGCAUAGUUUCAGAUGGUUUCAUGUCCGCGUUCACAAUCACAGCUGCUGAAGAAAUCGGAGUCCCUAUAGCGUUGUUCUACACUAUAGCUGCCUGCAGCUUCAUGGGAUUUAAACAACUUCGCGCUGUGGUCGAAAAAGGACUUUUUCCACUCAAAGGUGAAUAACUACGAAUUAAAAGCAAUUGUUGUUUCUAAACAUGCAAAUGAAAUGUUUCUUCAAUUGAAUUUCAUUUGUCUAUUGCAGAUGAGAGCUGUUUCAAAAAUGGCUAUCUGGACACCGUAAUAGAUUGGAUCCCAGGAAUGAGAGAUAUCCGUUUAAGGGAUCUCCCGACCUUCGCGCGAAACACAAAUCUGGAUGACACCGGAUUUAACUUCAUCAUGGAAGAAACCGAAAGAGCUCAUGAAGCUUCAGCAGUUGUUCUUCAUACUUUUCAUGCCUUGGAGACAGAUGUUUUGGAAGCUCUCUCAUCUAUGCUUCCCCAUGUGUACACCGUUGGCCCUCUUCAAUUGCAUCUCAAUCAGAUACCAGAGCACCCUUUGAAAAUGGGAUACAGUCCAUGGAAAGAAGAAACUGAAUGCCUCGAGUGGCUAAACACCAAGGCACCAAACUCAGUUGUCUAUGUGAAUUUCGGCAGUGUAGCAGUCGUGACACCAGAACAGCUUGUGGAGUUUGGGUGGGGACUUGCAAAUAGCAAGCUUCCAUUCUUUUGGGUAAUUAGACCUGAUCUAGUUGUUGGAGAAUCAGCUAUUUUGCCGCCUGAGUUUGUGGCUGAAACUAAGGAAAGAAGUCUAAUAGCUGGGUGGUGCCCACAAGAGCAAGUCCUCAACCACCCCUCAGUUGGAGGAUUUUUAAUGCACAGCGGUUGGAAUUCAACAGUUGAGAGCCUUACUGCAGGAGUUCCUAUGCUCUGUUGGCCAUUCUUCGGGGACCAGCAAAUGGACUGUCGCUAUACUUGCAAUGAAUGGGGAAUUGGCAUGGAGAUUAGUGAUGAUGCGAAGAGGGAAGAGGUAGAGAAGCUUAUCAAAGAGUUAAUGGAGGGAGAGAAGGGUAAGAAGAUGAAAAAUAAGGUCAUGGAGUGGAAGAAACUUGCAGAAGAAGCUACUGGUCCACAUGGUUCUUCAUCCACAAACUUAGACAAUUUAGUGAAUCAAGUGCUAUUGAGAAAAAGUUAAGAUGUUUCCAUAAGAAUAUUGAUGUUAUUAAUUAUCAUUUCCAUUGCCAUUGUCUCAAAUAAUCAACUAUCUGGCAAUAUAUAUGUACUACUGGUCUGUAACCAUGAUGCGUACUAUAUCUAGAAUUUUAUUCUAAUUAAGGUUUUACUACGCUUCAGGCCUUCAACUCUAAAGUCUUUAUCAUUUUUCAGGCAAUUGUGCACUAACCAUGAUGCAUUAUAUUAAUAAUAUUUUAAAUCAAUAGAUUAAAAAUAUAAAGCUAUACCUUUUUCCACAAAUACCCCCGAGCUUAACGGGUUAACGGGUAUUCGUGAAUUGACACGACACGACACGAUAGCUUAACGGGUGACUAACGGAUCAAUACGAUAUCAACAUGACACCAUAACUCAUGCCUGAAUACUGAAUUUUUCGUGCGAAUUCAUGUCGUAUUAAUGGAUCGUGCACAAUAUUGUCUCCUCUAAACUUAGAUACUUUAGUCGAUUUAAGAAAAAACUAGAUGUUAUCCAUAACCAUAUCUCUAUUAUCACUGUUGAUAUCUCUAUUAUUACUCUAUAUAGCGCCCUUAUUCAUAUAUGAUGUCAUACGGAGCCUAAUAACAUGUUUUCUUAUUUUGUUCUAAAAAAGUUUUUUGAAAGAAGUAGAGACCAGUAAAUGAAAUUAAAAAAAAUUAAACCUCCAAAGCCAUAUAAAGGCAAUGCUUAAAUUUGCUGUUUGCAUUCCAUUCCCUGCUCAAAGCCAUAUAAAGGCAAUGCUUAAAUUUGCAAAGCUCCUCCACCAUAGAGGUUUUCAUAUAACCUUUGUUAACACACAGUUCAAUCACAAGCGCUUUCUUAAAACUCUAGGAUCCAAUUCCCUCGAUGGCUUGCCUGAUUUUCAAUUUGAAGCCAUCCCGGAUAGCCUUCCAGAUUCAAAUGAAGACACCACACAAGAUGUCAUUAAAAAAAUAAAGUUAGACCAUUUUCAACAAAGAAAUUAUGUGGAAGUUUCUUUAAAACCUUGUAUAAUUAUGUUGGAGAUAUUGACCUGAUGAUAAAGCAUAAUCUCUCAUUAAUACUUGAAUGCUUAAUGUGAAAGAAAGAAACGAAAAGAAACAAGAAAACACAGACAAGGUUAAAGAAAAGACAAAAUCCAAAAGCUUACUUUGUUUCCUCGUCUUUCCAAAUCCAAAUCCAAAUCCAAACGCCACUCAAAUCAGUUAGGAAGUUUCUGAUUGUUUAUUUCAUUUCAUACUACAUACAAAGAUAACAACAGCUUGAGUAAAAAAGAACAAAAUUGAUACUUUAAAUUAGAUGCUUCAUUUCAAACCAUAGACACUCCUCUAACGUGAGCUUGAUUAGGGACAAAACCAUUUGAAUUAAAGAGUUAUUUCACUAUAAUGUUAUUUUUAGUCAUUGUACACAACUCACAACACUUUCACACAAAAAUUUACCAAACACUCAAAAACUUAUUAGUGUACCAACAUCACUUUUGAUAAAAAGUUGUCAAAAGCCAAACUGCUUUCUUUCACAACUGAUUUCUCUCACAGCAAAUCUGACUAUAAUUAUUUUUACAUCACAACAAUGCCAAACUAGCUUUGUUUUAGAUCCUUAUUUCAAUUCCUACUUGGUUUAGGAUUCCAAUUUUAAUCUUAUUUCCUACCCACUAUAAAUAAGGCUUUUAGGAAGUGAUAUUAUUAUUUGUGGCUAGAGAGUGUCUAUGAGUGUGGCUCCGAACCAAAUUACAAGUGAGUGUGAGGAAUUGCUAACAAUUCACUAUAGAAGUACAAGAGAAAAAAUAAUUUCAAGCACUCCGAAGUUUUCUUUCUACUAACUAGCCAGGUGAUGUUGAGGAAUUAAGCCCUCUUCAAUUAUACACCAAGCAAAGAAAAACCAUUGUUAAAUGAAGCAAGGAAAUUACAUAAUAUUACAAAUGAAACUAAGCUCUAGUGAUCUCCAUGUGCUCAAAAAUCAAACCCGAUUGAAUGCAUCUUCGUGGUUCAAUGAAUAUGGCGCUUUGCAUUUCAGAUAUAUUUUAUAUGCAGAGAGCUUCCAUUGAAGGAUUCCUCAAAUAAGUUAUUUGAGGAACACCCUUGUAGGGUCCACCAUUGUAUUUCACUAAUGAAGAAUAAGGCCAUGGAGUGGAAAACACAGGCAGAGGAAGCGACCAAUCCACACGAUUCUUCGUCCACAAACUUAGACAAUUUAGCUAAUCAAAUGCAAUCAAGAAAAAUCUAGAUGUUCUCUGCAUCCACAAACUUAACAAGAUCAUGCGCUGCAAACCUAGAAGUUAUUGGUUCAAUGAACUCGCAACAUCGCCAAGAAACGAAAGUCCAAGUCUAAAGUCUUUUUGUCUCGAUUGAUCAAGUAGUUUCCCUGUUGUCUUGAUCAACUGAUUUUUCUUUGCACAGAUAUUUGUGGGCGGGUAAGGGUCCAAAAAUCUGUGCAGAACUUUAACAUUCCUCUAUACUAGUCGAAAAUUUUACUAUCUAUCAACCAAUUGCAAUGACUAACUUCUAGAUUUUAUUAUUACAAAAAUUUAAUCAUAAUUUGUAGACUAUUAGUUAUUUAUAUUAUUAUAAGUAACAAUUUCUACCACAAUUUUUACCAUUAUUUAUAUAAUCAUAAGUUGACUAUCUAUCAAUCAAUGACGAACUUUUCGAAAUACUUGACCAACAUGAGUGUAUAAAUUCAAAAAGAUUUAAAACAUGUAAUCAUAUUUUGUUGACUAUUAGUGAUGUAACAAUUUCGACCAUAUAUAUAGUCCCCUUCUGUUAAGAGAUUCCUCAAAUAAUUUUAUUUGAAGGACACCCUUUCGAGUACCUUACGAUUUUUUUUUCAACGAUCCAAACCGUCUAAUUUUCAAGUCUUUACUCAUAGAUCAUCCUUGUAAGAAAAUCAUACAAAUUGAAAAUCAUUAUGACAUCUAAUAGAGAUCAACAAAAUCAAUAAACACGAUGCUUCGAGGGAGUGCUUAAAUUUCAAUAAUUUUAUUGAAUGGUCAAAUGAUAUUGGAUUCAAGUGAUUUUUUUUGUAGAGAUGAUCUUUGAAUGAAUAUCUACAAAAAUAGACAGUUUGGAUUAGUGAAAUAAAAUAAUCUGCAUUUGCAAGUUGUAACACCCCGACUCCAAAUUAAAUCCUUUAUUUAAGUUAUUUAAAUUAUUUAAGGGAAAUUACAAAUUUACCCUUGAGAUAAGGGAAUUUUUGUCAUUUUCUUAACCGGAGAGAGUUUGGGACAGUGACUAGUAAUUUUGGACAGGUCGUACUGAGACGAGUUCAUAGACACGUAGUGGGAUGGAAUCGGAGUUGUAACGAGAGAGAUAUGGUCAAAAGAAACCCAGUGGCAUAAUCGUAAUUAUUUUGAAAUUAGAUUUUUAUAAAAAUUAGAUUUCUCUCUCUCUCUCUCUCUCUCUCCCUCCCGCGAGCUCUCUCUCUCUCUCUCUCUCUCUCUCUCUCUCUCUCCCCGUCGGUCUCUCUCUCUCCUCGAAACUCCGGCCACCGACCACGGCUUAGACGGGGCCGAUACCAAAAUGACCGGGGCUUCGUCCUCUUCUAGCCCCAGCCGACUCCCGCCUCCAGCCGUCGUAGUUUCGCCGGAAAAUGGAGAAGAAGCGGCUGGUGUCGUCCGAACUUUAUCGCCAUCGAUCUCCCUCCUCCGGCCACCGAUUCCGACGAGCAAGGUGUGGUUUCUCACCUACUUUUCAUGCUCUAGCUGCCUGUUGGGUAGGAUUCGAUCGAUUCUUAGCGUAGGCAAUUCGAUUUUCGAAUUGAAAUUCGGUCAGUUUUGGGAUCGCGAUUCCGGCCACCUCCGGUCAGUUUUUGGGGUAGGUCCAAGAACAAAAGUGGCUCCAAAUAGGGUGUUAUACCUAGGGUAGGAGUUUGGAGCCGUGGUUUUGAGAUUUUCCGGCGACGCGUUAUCGCUUUGGGCACCCAGCGCUGCCGGCGUGUGUGACGGCGCGUGGGCGAGGGUAGUGGAGUUCUACUGUGUCUCGAUGAGAUCCUUAGGUUGUCAUGAGUGCGUAGGAUUUCACGGAUCUCAAUUCGGACGUCGUUUGACUAUCUAACAGACGAUCGCAUAUUGCGCGUUAUCCGAGUUCGAUAGGUUGGGACUUUUGGGUGGUCCCAAAUUUAAUAUAUGUUAAUCUAGGUAUUUCUAGGAUAGCGUAGAAAUUCACGGAUCGUGAAUCGGAGCCCCGGAUGUUUCGAUUUAAUAAUUUAAAGUUUAUGUUUUAUAUUAACCGUCAGAUCGUGCGAUUGUGAGCGAUCCGACCGUCCGAUCUGAACCAAACUUGCAGGACGAGUGUCCUAUACCUUAUAGAACCCAUAGGAACUUUCGGAUCGGAAUUUGGAGGUCAUGGGCCCCGUAGGCCCGUUUGACCAGGGUUAUGAUAGUUUGACCCUUGGUUGACCGUGAGUCUUCUGGAGUAGUCUCACCUUUUCACGGGGAUUAUCGGGUGCUAGACUGUUGUUGAGAUUUACACAAUAUUAGAAUUAAAUUAUAUAUUUAUAUAUGUUUGUAAAGGUAUAAAAAGAGUCUAGAAUGUCAGUUUGAAGUGCUAUACGCACUACCUUAUGCACAUCCCCGGAUUUUGGUUACACUACACGUACCACCCUGUGAAAGUUAGGUCCCACGUGGCGUAGGUUAUCCGGCGUGCGGACAGACCUCAUACAUGGCAUUGGUAGUAUCGGCGUAUGGGGAGAUUACGUGAUAAUAUGUUGAGGUAGCACGUGGCGUAGGUUAUCCGGCGUAUCGACAGACCUCAUAUGUGGCGUUGGUUGUACCGGCGUAUGGGGAGAUUUGUGAUAUGAUGUGCAGGUCUCGCAUGGCGUAGGUUAUCCAGCGUUGAGACAGACCCCCUACGUGGCGUUGGUUGUACCGGCGUAUGGGGAGAUAUUAUGAUAUUAUGUUGUUGAAGAACUAACAAGUCUUUAGAGAUACAAUUUUAAAUUGAAGUCAAAAUUCAAUGAAAGGAAAAAAAAAAGGUCAAACAAACAAAGCCAGAAAGCCUAUUUCUUCAUCCUCAGAAUAGAAGCUUCUUGUCAAAACCUAACCCUAUCAGCACUUUUGAAUCCAAUAAAUAACAUGGACACAUAUACAAACAAUGAAUAUAUAUUUCCCAAUCAAAUUGGUGUGACAAACCAGAAACACAAACACAUGGAUCAAAGAAAGGAAAAUUUGAUGAAAUCAAUCUCUACUAUGCUGAUCAUUCUUCUUUGUGCCGCAAAUAUAACAUAAUCACAAUAAACAUAUAUACACAGAUGUAUAUGUUGUCAUUCUGAUAUAUUUCAAUAUCUUGAAGAAUGACCUACUGGAAUUUCUAAGCAUUGGAUGUCACAAAAUAGGUAAUGUAGAGACUAUAAAUGACACAUACAAUUUCCCUUCUUUGGAUGAAAAAAAAAACAACUGGAAACACAAACUUCAAUUGCAUAAAUCGCCAAAACCAUAAAGGGACGGGAAUAAAACCAUAAUAAACUAGCAAUACAACAACACUAAAAUGCCAAUACAAAACCACUAAAUUGGCAAUACAAUAGCAAAAAAAGCAAUAAAACAUCAAUAAAACAUCAAUAACAACAGCAAAACAAUAGCAAAACAACAGAAUCCCAAAUCAAACGCAAGAAUCAAUCCACAAAGAACAAACCCAUUCAAUGUUUCAAACAAGGAAUCAUCAAAAUAAGACAAUUUCAAAGAAACCCCUCAACCCUAAAUCAAUUUCAGAGACACCUAAACCAAAAUUUCAGACAAACCCCUAAACCCUAAAUCAAUUUCAGAGAAAUCCCUAAUCCAAUUUCAGAUACCCUUAAACCCUAAACCAAUUUCAAAGAAACCCCUAAACCAAUUUCAUAGAAACCCAUAAACCCUCUAAACCAACUUCAGAGAAACCCCUAAACCAAUUCAAAUUGACGAUGAACAGUACCUUUUGCAAGUGAACGAUGGAAGAGGAAGACCACUGCAUCAGAGAGAGAGAGAGAGAGAGAGAGAGAGAGAACUACAUGAGAGAGAGUUGCGCAAGAGAGAUCGAGAGCUUCACGCGGUGGUGAAAGAUAGAAGAGAGAUUGAGAGCUGACUGAAGAGAGAGUGAGACCUCAGCGACAAAGAGAGCUGCACGAUAGAGAGAGUGAGAGGCACGAUAAAGAUGACAAUUUCAGCAAAAGUGAUAUGCGUGCAAUAAGUGGACAAUAAAUAUAUAUUUAUAGGUGAUAGUUGCAAAAUUUUUGGAGAGAGGUGGUAUUUUCAGUUAAAAUUAUAAAAAGGGUGGUAUUUAGAGCUAUUUCCAUAUAAUAUACCAGUUCCCCUUCACUUCUUCUCACCUCAAUUUAUCUGACAACUUUCGUCUCUCUCUGGCUAUCUUAUCUCCAUAGACUUGUGUGGAGGGGAAAAUACAGAGAGCCAAAACAAGACACAUUGAAAAGUGGCUCAGUUUUGCUUUAUAAAUAAUCCGCAUUUGCAAGCACCGCAAUGCACACACAAAAGCUAAGAUGGAUUCCAAAAAAGUAGCUACUAAGCCACAUGCUGUUUGCAUUCCAGUUACUGCUCAAAGUCAUAUAAAACCAAUGCUUAAAUUUGCAAAGCUCCUCCACCACAGAGGAUUUCAUAUAACCUUUGUUAACACAGAGUUCAAUCACAAGCACUUUCUUAAAUCUCUAGGACCCAAUUCCCUUGAUGGCUUGCCUGAUUUUCAAUUCGAAGCCAUCCCGAAUAGCCUUCCGGAUUCAGAUGAAGAUGCCACACAAGAUGUCACCUUGCUUUGUGAAUCCGUCAGAAAACAAAAUUUAUUGGCUCCCUUUCAUGCCAUCCUUGCAAAACUCAACAAUGAUGCCAUAUCAACAUCCAGUAAUCCUCCUGUUGUAGAAUUGUAAGUAGUGAGCCUGAUUUACUUUUAAGCCUAGAGUGUUAAUUGUGUAUUCACUUAGUCUUAGAAAAUGACAAGUGUAAGGCUUCAAACAUGUAAAGGCUAAAAUAGCCAAGAGCUAGAAUUAAAACAGAUGGAUGGCUGAGAUUCACUUAUGCUUGUGUGAAUCCAGCUAAGAGCUAACGGUCAUGUAGUACAUGUUGUGUGAGCUCAUUUUCAUAUAUAGAGAAUAUACAAAAGCCUUGCUCACUGAGUUUGUGAGUAAGUAGAGCAAAACACUAACAUGGCCUCAGAGCCAGGUUUGAUCGAUUGAAUCUAGGCGUUUUUCAAAUCUGUGAAAUCAAGCUAAAUCGGUGCUUACUCAAGCUCGUGGCAAUUGAUUGGAGCUCAUUGGAUAUCUGAAACAAGUUGGUUGUGGUUAUCUGAGAUUAGCAAUGUCUGGAUCUGGAGGCUCAGAAGUAAGAACUCCGAUCUUCUCCGGUGAGAACUAUGAGUUCUGGAGAAUCAAGAUGAUAACCAUCUUCAAGUCAUAUGGGUUGUGGGCUCUGGUGGAGAAAGGAAUUACGAUUCCAGAAUCGAAGAAGAAGGCAGCUGAGGAAACAUCUACAGAGGAAGAUGAUGAGAAGAUGGCUGCGAUUCUUAUGAAGGAUGCAAAAGCUCUGGGGAUUAUUCAGAACUCAGUCUCUGAUUAGAUCUUCCCUCGCAUUGCUAAUGCUGAUUCAGCUAAAAUGGCAUGGAAUCUGCUAUAUGGAGAAUAUCAUGGUGGUGACCAUGUCAGGUCAGUCAAGCUUCAAAACCUUAUACGUGAGUUUGAGUAUACUAGGAUGCAUGAAAAUGAAUCUCUGUCUGCAUAUCUUACCGGUUUGAAUGAGCUGAUUAAUCAAAUGAAAACAUAUGGUGAAUCUCUAUCUAAUGAAAGGCUCGUUCAAAAGGUUCUAAUUAGCUUAAAUAAGGUUCAUGACCCUAUUUGUCUGGUGAUUGAGAAUAUAAAAAGUCUGGAAACAGUAGAUUUACAAGAAGUCAUUGCCAUUCUAAAGAGUCAAGAGCAACGAUUUGAGCUGCAUAAUACUGAUACAGUUGAGAAGGCAUUUGCCUCUUUUUCUGUGAAUCCCAAAAGCCAGAACAAGGGAGGUUAUCAAUCUGGUCAAUCUAUGUCUCAAAAAAAUUGGAAUCCAAAAGGCAAACCAUGGGAAUCAAAUUCCAAGCCUCAACACACCAAUUUUGCACAUAACUCAUCAUCAACAAUGGGUCAAGAAGGUUCAAAACCACAGUGCAAAGUAUGUUCUAAAUUUUAUUCUGGUGAAUGCAGAUACAAGGGAAAGCCUAAGUGUUACAAUUGUGAUAAAUUUUGACAUUUGGCUAGGGAGUGUACUGCAGGCAAGAAUGUGCAGAAAGCAAACUGUGCAAAUCAAAUGGAAGUGACUGGAAACCUAUUCUAUGCCAACAGUACUAUUGCUGCCACAAAUGUUACUGGAGAAUGGUAUAUAGACAGUGGGUGUAGCAACCACAUCACUGGAAAUGGGAGUUUGCUGCCACAAAUGUUAUUGGAGAAUGGUAUAUAGACAGUAGGUGUAGCAACCACAUCACUGGAAAUGGGAGUUUGCUAAUAGAUAUUAGAACAAAUGUGGUAGGCAAGGUGCAAAUGCCAAAUGGUAAGCUUGUGAAUGUAGCUGGAAUGAGCACAUUGGCAAUUGAUACUACCAAAGGCAGAAAGUAUAUCAAGGAAGUGAUGUAUCUUCCCGGAUUGAAAGAGAAUUUACUAAGUGUAGGCCAAAUGGAUGAACACGGUUACUAUCUAGUAUUUGGAGGAAAAUUGUGCAGCAUCUUUGAAGGUCCUUCACUAGAGUAUCUUGUAAUCAAAGUAGAGAUGAAAAGGAAUAGGUGUUACCCCUUGGCACUAUUACCUAAUGAUCAUAUUGCACUAAAGGCAAGUGUGUCUAACUCUACUUGGACAUGGCACAAAAGGUUGGGUCAUCUACACCUAAAAGGACUAAGUCAACUCAAAGAGAAGUAUAUGGUGCAUGGACUGCCAUUCAUGGAAAAGGUUGAUGGAGUCAGUGAUGGAUGUCAGUUUGGAAAGUAGCACCGAGAAUGGUUUCCAAAGAACCAAGCAUAGAGAGCAAGCAAUCCUCUUGAGCUGUGGAUUUGUGUGGACCCAUGCAAAAUGAAUCCAUUGCUGGCAACAAGUAUUUCAUGCUCCUUAUAGAUGACUGUACAAGAAUGGUCUGGGUCUAUUUUCUCAGAUACAAAUCUGAAGCAUUGAAUUGUUUUCGAAAAUUCAAGUCAAUGGUAGAAUUGCAAAGUGGUUUUAAGGUGAAGUGUUUGAGAAGUGACAGGGGAGGAGAGUUCACAUCUUGUGAAUUCAACAAGUUAUGUGAAGUUGAAGGGAUUCAAAGACAACUCUCUAUGGCCUACACUCCACAACAAAAUGGAGUGGUGGAGAGAAAAAAUAGGACUGUGGUGGAAAUGGCAAAAGCAAUGCUUCAUGGUAAAGGAUUGCCUUACUAUCUGUGGGCAGAAGCUGUGCAUACAGCUGUCUACUUGAUAAAUAUGUGCCCUACUAGAGCAUCUGGAGAUAAAACACCAUUUGAGGCAUAUAGUGGGAGAAAACCAGGUCUGGCUCAUCUCAAAAUAUUUGGUUGUGUGUGUUAUGUACACAUAUCAAGUGAAGUGAGGCAGAAGUUAGAUGCAAAAAGAACCAAGGGUAUUUUUGUGGGAUAUGCAAUCUGUGAAAAAGGUUAUAGAGUGUAUGAUCCUGCUACUAAGAAGAUUUUACUCUCAAGGGAUGUUGUGUUUGAUGAGAAUGCAGCUUGGGAUUGGAAACAAAUGUCUGAUAAACAAGGAAGUGUGAUCAAUCAUAAAGAACAAUAUGAUAUGUCUAAUGAUUCAUCACAAGUGACACCUUCUAGAAGUCAUGAUCACUUUCAAUCACCAAGAACAAGUGAUAUAAGCAGCAGCAUGAGAAAUACUCAAGCUUUUGAUCACACUCCUUUAAAAUGGAGAAAUCUGGAUGAUGUUCUAGCUCAAUGCAAUCUUUGUAUUAUGGAACCAGAAAAAUUUGAUGAAGCUACUAAAGAUGAAUCUUGGAUGAAAGCAAUGAAGGAUGAACUUUCAAUGAUUGAGAAAAAUGCAACAUGGAGCUGGUGGACAGACCAGCCGAUAAACCUAUAAUUGGAGUUAAGUGGGUGUUCAAAACCAAGCUAAACCUUGAUGGUUCAGUACAGAAAAACAAGGCACGAUUGGUUGCCAAAGGUUAUGCUCAGGAACCAGGUGUCGACUACAAUGAGACCUUUGCACUAGUGGCUAGACUUGAUACAAUCCGCACACUAGUUGCAUUGGCAGCACAAAAGAAUUGGAAAUUGUAUCAACUAGAUGUCAAAUCUGCCUUCCUAAAUGGUGUUUUGGAAGAGGAGGUGUAUGUAGAUCAACUGGAUAGUUUUGUGGUCAAGGGGAGUAAAGAUAAGGUGUACAAGCUUCAUAAAGCUCUCUAUGGCCUAAAACAGGCACCAAGAGCUGGGUACUGUGAGAUUGACACCUACUUUGCUUAAUAUGGUUUUUCCAAAAGUCCAAGUGAGGCCACUCUCUAUACCAAGACCAGAGGAGAGGCAGAAAUUCUAAUAGUGUCCAUCUAUGUAGAUGACAUUGUUUAUACAGGGAGUUGUCAGUCAAUGUUAAAGGAGUUCAAGCAAGACAUGAUGGUGAAAUAUGAAAUGACAGACUUGGGGCUCUUGCAUCAUUUUUUAGGAAUGGGAGUCAUUCAAACUCACACUAGCAUUUUUCUUCACCAAAAGAAAUAUGCAGCAUCUUUGUUGAGCAAAUUUGGCCUAUGUGAAUGCAAACCUGUCUCCAUACCUUUGGUUACAACUGAGAAGUUAAGCAAAGAAGAUGGAAGUGGCCCUCAAAUGAAGAGCAAUAUAGGAAGAUUGUGGGAAGCUUGCUAUACCUUACAGCUACAAGACCCGAUAUAAUGUAUGCAUCUAGUCUACUUGCUAGAUUUAUGCAUUGUCCUACUAAUAAGCAUUAUGGGACUACUAAAAGAGUUCUCAGGUAUAGUCAGGGGACACUUGAUUAUGGGUUGGAGUAUGUGAAAGGAAGGAAUGCAAUGUUAAUUGGCUACUGUGAUAGUGACUGGAGUGGCUCAGUGGAUGACAGUAAGAGCACUUCAGGGUAUGCUUUCUCUUUUGGCAGUGGUGUUUUUGCUUGGGCAUCAAUCAAACAAAACUGUGUUGCUCUUUCUACUGCAGAGGUAGAAUACAUCAGUGCUUCAGAAGCAACUGCAUAGGCAAUUUGGCUUAGAUUUGUUUUGGAAGACUUUGGUGAAUUUCAGGCUGAAGCUACCCCACUACAUUGUGACAAUACAGCUGCUAUUGCUAUCACAAAGCACCCUGUAUUUCACCAUAAAACUAAGCACAUUGAUCGAAGGUAUCAUUUCAUCAAGGAUGCCUUGCAAGAAGGAAUCAUUAACUUGAUUUAUUGUCCUACAAAUGAGCAGUUGGCAGAUAUCUUCACAAAGUCAUUGGCUAAAGAUCGAUUCUGCUAUCUUAGAGACAAACACUACUACAAAAAGUAAAAAAGACGACCAGAAAACAACGACGGUCUAAGUGAAAACCGUCGUGGUUUUUAAAAAGACGACGGUUCUAAAAACACCGUCGUGUAAUACCACCUUAGACAACUAAAAAUGGAGAUUCAAAUGGCUGUUCAAAAACAACGACGUACCUAAUUAAAAAACCGACGUCUAUUUGAAACAGAUUUCCGCAGUGUAAAAUCAAAGCCAACAAAGAACGGCAGAAGUUAUGAAUCGACCGACGUAGAAAGUAAAGACGACGAUUUCAAUAAAAGCCGCCGUUUUUACUCAUAAAAUAACACGACGAAAUUUUCGUAUAAGACGCCGUAUAAUUACAAACAAAUCGACGGCUUUAAAAUACAAAAUGUCGUCGUAUUAAAUUAAUUUACAACGACGGAAAAUAUAAAUAUAUCGACGUUAUUCUCGUAUAGUUCUAUGACGUUAUCUUUAAAUCGUACUAUAAAAUUUAACGUCGUAUUUAUUAAUUUUAUACGUCGUACCUUUAAUUUAAACCGUCGUCUUAAUAAGAAUUUUUGUUAACAAUUUUUUCCUUUAUUUUCUUAUCCUACGUCGGUAGAUCUACUUAAUGACAAGAAUUGAAAUCUGUCAUCCAAAAAAGAAACUUUACAUAAUCCAGAACAUUAAUUUCCUUCAUUUUAAAUUUCCUCCGAAAAAAAAACUAUAUUUAUAACGCACUGUAAUUGAAAAAUAAACUGAAAGGUCACGGGAAAAAAAUUUCUAUUCAUAAUUUAACAAUUCAAAUCCACGUCGGUUAUAUUAAACCUAACGACGUUAAAUGAAAAGAUUCCACGUCGCAAAACAAAUAUUGCGUCGUGUUAGUUUAUGGUUUCUUUAAUAGUUUCAGUUUCUUUAACAGUUUGGUCCUUUAUCUUUCUGCAGGACUUGUAUAGUUCAAAGCAUUGACUUGUAUAGUUCAGAGUAUAGUUCAAAGCACUGAUUCGAUUGCUCAUGCUUUAUCGCAUUCAUGAAGCCAUUUCUAUUCUUUAUCGCAUUCUUGAAACCCAUCUUCUUCUUCUGAAGCUCUACGGAUAAAGGAAGAGGCUAUCACAAAUCUGACGGAUCUUCUUAGCCAAGAAAAUCAAGCAGAGGAUCAGGCACAUCUGAUCUUCAGAUUUUCCUGAGAAGCGAACUUUCCUUCGACAGCGAGUGGAGGACAGGCUUGCAUCUCUUUUGAUGGAAAGCAAGGAGUAUUCAGAAGCACUAAAUGUCCUAUCAGGCUUGAUCAAGGAAGUGAGAAGGCUAGUUAACAAGCUUCUUCUUGUGGACAUAGAUUUGAUGCGAGUAAGCUCAAUUUCUCUUUGAGAAAGACAUCCAAAUUACUGUCUUUGAGAUGUGAGAGACAGUGUCUCUGAGAGAGGAAGAACUUGGAACCCUAAAUGUAAACCGAAAAUGAAUGAAAGCGACAAAUUUAUAGAAUAAAUUUUUAAAACCAACGGCGGUCCUUACAAAAAAACCGCCGUUUAAAUUUUAAAAUCAACGUCGUUAUGACCGACGUAUAUUACAUAAAUCCACGUCGGUACAUUAAUAAAAUCGACGUGUUAAAUGAUCUACCAUGACGCGAGUUAUUAUUUAUGUACUUUAAUUUUUGAGUUUACUACGACGGUACCUACAACACUACUGUCGUACUUAUUUACCACGUCCGAAGUUAAACGUACUGUCGUAUUUUGUAAUUUAUACGUCGUAGUUAUAUGUAACCGCCGUAUUAUUUUUUGAAAUGGUUUUAUAUGUAAGCAACUUUUCGUGUACCUGUCUUACACAUGCACUGUUUCCAAACCCAAUUAAAAAUUUCAAUCUCCCAGAGAAAACUUUUAGACUUUUUUCCUUGUCAGAGCACUUUCAGAGUAUCUCAUCGUCUUCCUCUCGUCUUCUUCGUCGUCUCUGAACUUAAACAUCGAUCGUCUUCCUCUUGCUUUCAUUGCACGCAAAAGGUAAGCUUUCAUUUUCACUAUUUUGGUUGCUGUUUUGCAUGCUCAUACGUUUUUUGUUUGAAAAAUCUUUUUACCUUUUUUCUGGCCAAAAUCAUUUUACUUCUUUCCAAGUUCGAAAAAAUAUACAGACAAAGAGGGAAAGUUUCCAACUUUGAAGACAACUACCUCAACUAAAUAAGACGACGGUAGCUUCUUAUUUACGUGGUUAAAUAUGUAGACCACGACGGUUCGUCAGUCGUUCUAGCGUCGUCUGAAAAUUGACAAAGUUGUUUUUAAAAUUAUAGUCUUUUUUUUAUUUGCUUGUUUAAUUGCAGGUUUGAUUUCUCUGAACAAUGGUUUUUGUUUUUCCCUAAUUUGAUAAAAUAUAAAGAAAAAGAAAUUAGGGUUGGUAUCUAAUAUAGACGACAGUAUCUUAUUGUUUUACGUCGUGUGAAUGUUAAUACCACGACGUCAUAUUAAAAUACCGUCGUCUAUAUAAGAUUCUAAAACUUUCUUUCUUGGCCUUGUAUUUUAUCAAAUUAGAAAACAAAAACCAUGGUUCAGAAAAAUCAAAUCUGCAAUCAAACAUUCACAGAGAAAGAAAGAAGGGUUUUGGAUCCUUAUAUAGACGACGGUAUAUUACUACUGACGUCGUGUGAACAUCAAUACCACGACGUUAUAUAAAUAUUCCGUCGUUUAUAGUUAAUUAUUACGUCGUUUGUAGUUAAUUAUUUCGUCGUUGAUUAAUUACCUUGGUUUUAAACAUUUAUUACGUCUGAUAUUAUUUCAUUGCGUCGUUUAAAAUCAUAUCAUACGUCGUCUUUUAUUAAGAACCGUCGUUUGUGUUCUUAAUCUUUUCUUGAAAUAUUUUCACUUUCAGUUUUGUCUGUAAAAAUGGUUUCUCACCAAGACCAAAGUAAGGAUUCUGGCUCCAAGAAAAAUGGAGGUAAGGAGCAAGUACCUCCUCAAGAGAAGUCUUCGAAGAUAAUGAAGUCUUCGAAGAAGAUGAAGUUUGCUUCAUCAUCUGCUGAUACAGAACCAACCAGCUCGACAACAAUCUCUGAUGAUUCAAAGGCUGGUCGAGGUAUGAGCACAAUGCCUCAUGUUGUGAAGAGAAAACUUCAGAAACUGAGGCCAAUUGUUGAGUACAAUAAAAGGGGGAAAGGAAUUGGCCAAUCACACAGUGAGAUGCAGUCCUAUAUUGGUGUGUUGGCACGCUCCAGAGUCCCACUUGUGGACUUGAAAUGGGCUCAAAUCCCCAAGGAUAUAAAGGAGCAGAUUUGGGAAGCAGUUGACAUUGCUUUUGUAGUAGGUCAAGGGGGCAAGAACUCUGUCUUAGCUUCUGCUGCCAAGAAAUGGAAGGAUUUCAAGUCUACACUAACGAGGCAUUAUAUCCUUCCAUACACCAAUGACAGGGAGAGAUUAAGCCAACCCCCUGAAACAUAUAAAUUCAUAGAGAAAGCACAAUGGGAUGCCUUUGUAGCUUCAAGGCUAUCCAAAGAUUUUGAGUCUGUGCAUUCUCAACAUGCACAGAUUAGGGAGAAACUCGAGUACAAUCAUCGAUUGUCUCGAAAAGGAUAUGCUGGUUUGGAGGAUCAAUUAGAGGAAACCAUGCCUGGGGUAGAAAUUGAUCGAUCUACCUUAUGGAAGAGAGCUAGACAGGACAAACAUGGUAACAUCCCUGAUCCAAAGGUGGCAGAGAAAGCAAAAUUAAUUGUAAGCCUACUCACUCUGUUUUAAAUUUUUAUUAAACUGUGAAUAAUUCUUAUUAUGUCUUAUGUUAUAUUUUGCGUCGUGUGAAUGAUAUUACCACGUCGACAUUUUUUAAAACACGUCGUUAAAGGUCUAAAUAGGAAUCACAACUCUGUUUUCUGUAAUUAUAGCAUAAGAUGUCGGUGGUUCAAUUUCGCGUCGUCUGUAUUAAAUUACUACGUCGAAAUGUUUUAAACAACGUCGUUAAAGGUGUGAAUAUUGAAUCAUCCCUCUGUUACAUAAGACGUCGGUGGUUUAUUAAUUUCGUCGUUUUAAAAAUCUAACCACGUCGGUAUAACUACCGUCGUGAUAAAUUAUAAUAACGUCGAUUUAUAUGUUAUUGCGUCAUGUGAAAUUAUAUAAUACGUCGUUUGUAUAUAAAUAACCGUCGUGUGUUUUUGUUCUUACUUUUUUAUAUAUCUUUGUUUCAGGAUGAUUUGCAAAAACAAGUCUCGGAAGGCAAAGUCACCGUCUCUGGCAGCAAUGAUGUGCUGACCAUGGCUUUGGGCCCCGAGCAUCCAGGCAGAGUCAGAGGAGUAGGUGCUGGGAUCUCACCAGGGCAAUAUUUCAAUUUACCCAAACCACAGAGAGUGAGCUUUGACGACCGUUUGAAGGACAGUUUAAGAGUUCUCCUUCAAGAAGAGACUAGAAAGAUGGAGGCUAAGGCAAGGGAAGAGGCUUUAAGGAUGGAGGCUAGAACGAAACAAUUGGUAGAGGCUGAAAGGGAGCAUUUCCUGAGUCAGCUUUCCCAAUUAAUUCCCAAUUUUGAUCCAAGCAUGCUUAAACCCAGAAUUAGCCAAAGUCCCAAAAAUUCAAUGUCUGACAAAGCAAGCUGCUCUGGAGGUGAUGUGAGAUCCCAGCAUUUUGAGGAUGAUACUGCCAAAAAUGGGAAACAUCAGGAAGAAAAGGUAACAUAUCUGAACUUUGAAUUGUCUGUUUUUUUAAAAACCAUUAGACGUCGUUAUUAUUAAUAAAACCAUCGUUUGAAAUACAUACCACGACGAUUUUAAAAAUAAACCGUCGUUUGUAUUUCAAUACCACGUCGUAUUUAGUUUACUUGUUUUACACGCCAUUAAACGUCGUUAUUUUUAAAACUUUGUGGUUUUUAGACGACGGAGUUAAUCAUUCCCGACGUCAUAGAUGAAGAGAAUAAAGAAGAAAAACAAGAUGAAAAGCAGAAAGAAGAUGACGACCAGGUAUGUUCACAUAACUUUGCCUUUUUUAUUUGUUUUUCAAAAUUCCAGACGUCGAUAUUUUUCUUUAAACCGUCGUUUGUUUACAACUUAGACGGCGGAAUUGUUUUCUAAGACGUAAUAAAUAAUUCACCACGACGGUUGUUUCACCGUCGUUUAAAUUGUUUUCAGACGACGUUUUAUUCCUUAAACCGUCGUUUUUAUUGAAUUACCACGUCAUUUUUUUUAUUUCUUUAAACAGGUUACUAAAGUUGUUGAUUAUUCAAAUAUGGAGGCGCCAUCUUCUUUACAAACCCUUUGUCGUUAUGUGGAAACGACACUCGUGCCUCAGGAUAAGACCCUGCACUUUACAAUUGAUAAGGAGGUCUUUGGUCUAGAGCGCGAUACCUUCCUCCUGCCUGAAGAUAUUACACAAUUUGCAGGCAUGGAGGAAAUAGGAGCUACAGUCAUUGCUGUAUAUAUGAGGUUUGUCAUUCUAAAAUAAUACGUCGUUGGUUUAUUUAUUGCGUCGUCUUAACUAACUAACCACGUCGUUAGUAUGUACCGUCGUGAUAAAUUUAUUAUAACGUCGUUGUCUAUUUCAGUACGUCGUGUGAAACCUUAUAAUACGUCGUUUUGUUAUACAUAACCGUCGUGUGUUUUUUUUGCGCUGACUUGUUUAUAUUAUUUUAUAUAUUUAGGUACUUACACGAUGUUUUAAAACAAGCAAAUAUGUGCACAAUGGUUGGCUUUAUCGACCCUGCUAUAGUUAGUGCCAGCUCUGGCACAAUAGCUGACAGAUCACGAAUGGUAGCAUCACGACUUCAGAAGACUGACGGUGAACAGAUUUUCCUGAUGCCUUACAAUCCAGGGUUAGUCUCCUUAACAGGAUUUUGUUUUUAUGAUUUUCAAUAAAUGACAGCGUAUAAACUAACCACGUCGGUGUUUUAUUUUAUUGAGUCGUUUGAAACGACUAACCACGUCGGUAGUUAUUUACGUCGUGAUAAAUAUAUAAUGUCGUCGAUUGCUACUUUAUUUCGUCGUGUGAAAUAUUAUAAUACGUCGUUUUUGUAAAUAACCGUAGUUUUUAUAUUAAUUUUGUGCAGCCGUCAUUGGAUCUUGCUGAUUGUAAGAGCAAAGAGGGAAACAGUCUAUUUUCUGGAUCCUCUGCCAGGAUAUCGUGUGGUCGAUGAAGAGGCCAAAAACAUCGUGAACAGUGCCAUAAAAAUUUAUAAUUCCCACAUAGCCAGAUCAGGCCGUAAGGCAGUCAUUUGGAAAACUCUGUCAGGCACACCAAAGCAACCCAGCAAUGUCGAAUGAGGGUAUUACGUGAUGCGCUUCAUGAAGGACAUCAUCAUGGAUCCUUCCUUGGGGUUUGAGAAGAAGGUAAGAAGAAAUAACCUUCAAACAUUUUACGUCGUUUUUUGUAUUAUCAACGACGGUCAUGUAAAAUUACCGUCGUUGAAUAGAUAUACUACGUCGGUUAUGGUCGUCUGUGAUUGAAUUUCCUUUUAUUUAUAAACCCUAAUAGUCAUUGUUUUUAUGCAGUAUGCGAAGGGAAAACAGGAAGAGCCAUACCCCCAAGAAGCAAUUGAUGAAGUCCGGAAUGAAUGGGCAGAGUUUGUUUGCCUUCAACUUAAAUAGGGGAAUUAUUGAACACUUGAUAUUUAUGUAUAAUGUACAAAUUUUGUCUAUAAUAUAUAAUGUAAAAAUUUGUUGAGGUUUUCUUAAAGUAAAAACAAAAACAAACAUACAAAAUGCGUUACCGACGUGUAAUAAUUUUCCAACGACGUAAUAAAGUCAAAAGCCGUCGUUUUUUGUGGUUUCGUUUUAAACAAAUCCGACGUAAAAGGAUAUUUAGACGACGUUCUUUGAACAAUGGAGUCGUUUAUGGUUUACAACGUCUUCAAUUUCUUAAGGGUUCAGGGUAGUACUUUGUAACGACAACGGUUAAGUCGAGGAAUAUAUAUUUUACGUCGGAUAGUUAAAUAUCCGCCAUCGUUUCUUAUUUAAACGACGUCAUUUUAACAACUUAGUCGUCUCUUACAAUUUACAACGUCUACAAUUUAUUAACACCGACGUGGUUUGUUGUUGUGAUAAGAAUAUUUUAUUAUUUUUAUAUCAAAAUAUUCAAAAUAAAUUUAAAAUAAAUCAGAAAAAUGCAAAGUCAACUCCUAUGAAGUCAUUGAUAUAUUUUCUUCCCCCUAAAGCUUGAAAAAAUUCAUUUUGAAUAACAAAAAUUUAAAAUGAACAUCCAAAACAAAAUUGUUUUGAUGAGUCAUAAAAUCACUUCUAGUUUUAUGGUUUAGGGUUUAGAGUCUAGGGUUUAGAGAUUAGGGUUGUUAUUUCUUGGGGUUUAUUUUUAAAGUAUAAUUUUUGGGUAGUCUAGGGUAUAUAUUAGGCUGUAAAACCAUAAACCCUUUUAUAAACUUAAUUUUUAAAAUUAUAUAAUUUAGUUUUAAGGGUUUAGGGUAUUAAUUGUUAACGACGGUGGUUGAGUCGUGGAAUACAUAUGUUACGUCGUGCAGUAAAUUAUCCGACAUGGUUUCUGCGUUAAACGACGUCAUUUUAAUAUGUAAGUCGUGUAUUAUUAUUUACAACGUUUUCAAUUUCUUAACCCCGACGUGGUUUUUCAGUCGUCUUUAUAUCAAAAUAUUGAAAAUAAAUUUAAAAUUAAUCCGAAAAAUGAAGCGUCAAAAUAAACGGCGUUACAUUCAGUGUUUCCGUCGUGGAAUAUUACAUUUACGUCGGUUCUUGUAGAACUUUCGCCAUGAUUUUUCUUUCAACGUUUUAAAGAGCGCGCGCUCUAAAAAUUUCCGCGCGUCCUAAAUUUUUUUAUAUUUGGCUCUUAUUCUUAUUCUUCUAACCCUGAACCCUAAAAUUUUCAGAUUUCGUGCAACAUAACAUUUCGCUCUCUCACUUCUGCUCUAAUUAAAAGUUGCUCUAAUUAAAAGUUGCUCUGUCACUUCCGCUCCGUCGAAUCUGUGAGCUCGUCCAACCUGUAAGUACAAACCCUAUCUUCCCCUUGUAAAUUCAUUGAAUGAUAUUAGGUUGUUUUGUUAAAGGGUUUUAGGUAUAUGCUUUGCGAUCUGUUAAUAAUGUGCUUAUAAGUAUGGGUUCAUGGAUUUUCUGUUUAAUGGGUUCAUGGAUUACAUUAUCUGUUAUGUUGAAUUGGGAAUGGAUUUAAUUUUGUCGGAUCUUUUAAUCACCCUAUGUUAUGUUGAAUUGGGAAUGGAUUUAUUGUUUUCAUGCUUGGUUUCAUGUAUAUGUUGUUUUCUUGCUUGGUUUCAUAUAUAUGUUGUGUUCUUAAUGGGUUUUGGGUUCUUGAAAAUAAACUGAGACACGACGCCUUUUUAGGCAUACGACGACGAUUACACGACGGUUUAUGAAAAAACCGUCGUUGUAUUACUUAUACACGACGAUGUUUUCAUAAACCGUCGUUUGUAUUACUUAUAUUAGACGACGUCUGUUGAAAAUCCGUCGUCUAUAUAUGCCAAAUACGUCUGUUUUUGUUUAAAACCCGUCGUCUCUGUUGUGUAUUACUUGCUAUUAGAUCUUUGUAUAAUCUGCUAUAGUGAUGGUCAUUGCCUGUAUUUUCACUUUAUUAUAGAUAAUAGGUUAUAGUGUCGGAGAUGGAUAAGUCAUGGAUGCACUCGGAUAGAAGAUCGAAGGCAUAUGAGUUUGGGGUGGAAGCAUUUUUGAACUUUGCUGUAGAAAAUCUUCUAACUACAACACAUAUCCGUUGUCCAUGUGUUAAAUGUGUUAAUUUGAAGUUGUUUGGGGUUGGAAUUAUAAGGGAUCACUUAUACUUUAAUGGAAUUGACCAAAGCUAUAAGAAUUGGACAUUUCACGGAGAACCUUGGGAAGCAACUACUAAUGCUAGUAGAAAUGUUGAAGAAGAUGAUGGCCAUAGUAGGUACAGUUUUGUGUCUGAAGAAAUUGAUAUGGAUGAUAAUGAUUUUGGUUCCGAUCCGUAUGAGUUUGCCAAUGUGAUUGGGGAUGGAGAUCAACCAGUGUACCCUGGUUGUAGAAAGUACACGAAGUUAUCGGCAUUAGUGAAGUUGUAUAAUUUGAAGGCAAAACAUGGGAUGAGUGAUGUCUGUUUUACAGAAUUAUUGAUACUUCAAGGCGAUUUCCUUCCAGAAUGAAAUACAAUACCAACCUCUAUGUAUGAGGCUAAAAAGACUUUGUGUGCAUUGGGGCUGAGUUAUGAGAAAAUGCACGCAUGCCCCAAUGAUUGCAUCUUGUAUAGGAAGGAGUAUGAGAAUUCAACUAAUUGUCCUACUUGUGGUAUCUCAAGGUGGAAGGAAGGCAAAGAUUCAAUCUUGAAAGAGGGUGUGCCAGCGAAGGUGGUGUGGUAUUUUCCUCCAAUUCCAAGGUUUAAAAGGAUGUUUCAAUCACAUGAGACAGCUAAGAGUUUGACUUGGCAUGCUGCUAGAAAAUCAAUUGACGGUCAGAUGUCUCAUCCGGCGGAUUCCCCGUCUUGGAAACUUCUUGAUGAUAAAUGGCCUGAGUUUGGUAAUGAGCCGAGAAACUUGAGAUUGGCUCUUUCAUCUGAUGGAUUCAAUCCCCACAGUUCUCUAAGUAGCAGAUAUAGUUGUUGGCCGGUUAUCUUAGUUACAUAUAAUCUCCCUCCAUGGCUGUGCAUGAAACGAAAGUUCAUGAUGUUAACCUUAUUGAUUUCCGGUCCUAAACAACCCGGAAAUGAUAUAGACGUCUACUUGGAGCCUUUGAUUGAUGAUUUAAAAUCUUUGUGGGAUGGGAUUAGAGGAGUGUAUGAUGCACAUAAUAGAGAAUACUUUACACUCAGAGCUGCAUUAAUGUGGACAAUUAAUGAUUUCCCCGCCUAUGAAAACUUAUCUGGUUGUGUUGUUAAAGGAUAUAAAGCUUGUCCAAUAUGCGGCGAUGAUACACCUAGUCACAGGUUGAAAAAUGGCCACAAAAUUUGUUACAUUGGGCAUAGAAAAUGGUUACCAAUCAAUCAUCCAUAUAGGAGGCAACGUGCAGCUUUUAAUGGGAAACCUGAAUAUGGCAUACCUCCCGAGCCAUUAACCGGAGAAGAAGUGCUGCAUAUGGUUGAAAAUGGUGACAGAGUUUGUUGGAAGAAGAAAUCAAUAUUCUUUGAUCUCGAGUAUUGGAAAUACCUUCCUGUGAGGCAUGCCCUAGAUGUUAUGCACAUUGAGAAGAAUGUUUGCGAUAGUAUUAUUGGUACAUUGUUGGAGAUCCCUGGAAAAAAUAAAGAUGGGAUUGCUGCUCGAUUAGAUUUAUUGAACAUGAGGGUCAAAACUGAUUUGCAACCCGAGUAUGGAGAAAGACGUACUCGUUUGCCUCCUGGGCCUUGGAAUUUGUCAAGAGCAGAGAAGAGAGAGGUUUGCAAUUCUUUCUAUGGUAUGAAGGUCCCUGAAGGUUAUUCUUCAAAUAUUAAAAAUCUUGUAUCUUUACAAGAUUCAAGACUUCUUGGCCUUAAAUCACAUGAUUGUCAUACCUUAAUGCAACAAUUGCUCCCUGUGGCAAUUCGUUCUGUUUUGGAGAAGCCUGCAAGGUAUGCAAUAACUCGUUUGUGCUUCUUCUUCAAUGCUAUAUGUGCAAAGACUGUUGAUGUUUCCAAGCUAGAUAAGUUGGAAGAAGAUGUAGUAAUUACUCUGUGUUUGCUUGAGAAGUACUUUCCCCCUUCAUUCUUUGAUAUCAUGGUUCAUCUAGUAGUACAUCUUGUCAGAGAAGUUCGUCUAUGUGGGCCAGUAUAUUUUAGGUGGAUGUAUCCGUUUGAAAGAUAUAUGAAAGUGCUGAAGGGGUAUGUUCAGAAUCGUACUCGUCCCGAAGGUUGCAUUGCUGAGCGGUAUAUAGCUGAAGAAGCGGUAGAGUGUUGUACUCAGCAUUUAUCUGAUGUUAGUACAGUUGGAGUGCCUUCAAGCCAAAAGAUGGGACUUUCAAAGCCAUUAUCAGGUUGCACAGUGAGCGUAGUUGAUCAGGACCUGUUGAAUCAAGCACAUCUAUAUGUCUUGGAGAAUACGGAGGAAGUCCUACCUUAUAUCGAGUACGUAUGAGCUUUAUUCUUUAAGUUUCCAUUUUAAAUUAUUUCUUAUGUUUAUCUUCUAUAUUUAGGACCGUAAUGCUUGAAUUUUUCGUGUCAUGUAGGCAACAUAUGAUUCACAUCAAGACUGCUUAUCCAAAAUUUAGAAAGAGAACAAAGUGGCUGCAGGAUAAGCACAAUAGCACUUUCAUUCAAUGGCUACGCUUCAAGGUAUAUGUUGUUGAAUAACAUAUUUCUCUUUUAAUUUUCUUCUUAUUUAUAUGUUAGAUUGAAUUAAGAUAUGAUUAAUUUGCAGGUUCAAAGUGAACUUGAGGAAGACAAUCAUGGCGUAUCAGAAAAUUUAAGGUGGCUAGCAGCUUGUCCAAACAUGUCAGUGCCAUUAUAUAGGAGCUAUCUUAUUAAAGGUAUUAAAUUCAAUAUCAAGGCACAAGAUGAUGUGCGGACAACUCAAAAUAGUGGAGUUUAUUUACUUGCACAUACCAUGCAAGUUGCUAGUGCCAAGGAUAAAAACCCAAUUCUCUCAAAUAUGGGUUUCUAUGGUGUCAUUCAAUAAAUUUGGGACCUUGACUACCAAAAGUUUACAAUCCCAGUCUUUAGGUGUGAUUGGAUAGAUAGUUCUGGUCUUGUAGUCGACGAACUUGGAUUUACCCUUGUAGAUUUGAGUAAAAUUGGACAUAGGAAUGACCAAUUUGUUUUGGCUUCUCAAGUCAAACAAAUAUUUUUUGUUGACGACCCGAUGCAUCGUGGUUGGUCGGUAGUGUUAUCAAUGCCUAAUAGAGAAUAUAAUGAUGUUAUUGGUGAUGAAGUCUUAGGUGAUGUGAUAAUUGAGUAUGAGCCAUUUACUAGAGGGAUGCCAAAUGUUGACACAUUUGAUGAACUGGUAGGUGAGUUAGGCGGUCAAAAUAUUCGAGAUGGGUGUGAAGAUAUAUGGAUUGAAUGAUGCUUAUGUAAUUGGCAGUGUAUGACAUUAAUUUUGUAAUAUAUUGUAAUGCGAUUUCUUCACUUUCUACGUUCAAAUAAAACACGACGUUAUUGUGAAUCAGUUAUUCAGCAUAUUUACCGACGUCUUAAAGCAACGUAACAAUGAAGAACCACGACGCUAUUGUGAAGCAAUUAUUCAGGAUAUCACGUCGGUGAAGCAUUAAGAACCGCCAUGUAAUUCAGAAUAACACGACUCCAAUCCCAUAAUACCGACGUCUAAAAAACGAGAUAUAUAAUCUGAACGUUAAAAAAUACGACGUCAUCAUACAUUUUCCACGUCGCAAGUUCUUUUAUAAACGAAGAGGAACGAAAUGAAUUCCGACGGAAGUUCAUUAUAACCGCCGUUUAAUAACAAUUAAACGACGUUAUUUGUAAUACGACUCUCAUCAUAAUCUACGCCGUCUAUAUGUUCUGUAAUACGGCUCUCAUUUAUUUGGAACCGACGUUGUUUAGAAGUUCAACGUCGUCUAUAUUAUUAAGUGCGUCGUGAGUAAUGAAUACAUAUAAAUACAACGUCGACUAUAUAAAUGUAUACGUCGUAAAUAAUGACACUGACAACUAUUUCCACGUCAUAUUUUUUAGAAAAAUCGAAGUGGAAAAUUUAUUUCACGACGGUUUUUUGUAAAUAAGAGACGUAGUAGAUUUCAAUAACGUCGUCUUCUCAUGUAUUUAAAGACGUCAUAUUUUUUCUUGUCGGGUAAAUUAUAUUUAACGGCGUAGUAUUUUAGUUGUCGUCGUUGUAUGUAUAUCUUGCGGCCUUGUUCUUUUAAUAUAUGUCAUAUUUUUCCUUUUUAACGACGGUGAUUUUUUUGAGUUGGUCGUCUAUUCUCAUCCUCGACUAUUUUCUAGAACUUUAGCAGACUAAACACGUCUGUUUUUAUUUUUUUCCGACGUUGUUUUAUUUAACAACGUCUAAUAUUUAUCGUCGUUGUUUGUUUCUGAAAAUAGGACGUAUAAAUUUUGUAAUACGACUCUCAUAUAUUUGUAACCGACAUUGUUUAGUUUUUCAACGUCUACUCUAUUAACAUAUACGUCGUAAAUAAUGACACUGACAACUAUUUCCACGUCAUCUUUUAUCGAAAAAUCGAAGUGGAAAAUUAAUUUUACGACGGUUGUUUUUAUAUAUGCGACGUAGUAGGUAUCAAUAACGUCGUUUUCUAAUGUAUUUAAAGACAUCAUAUUUUUUAUUGUCGUGAAAAUUAUAUUUAACGUCGUCGUAUUUGUAUUUUCGUCGUUGUAUGUCUAUCUUGCGGCCUUGUUCUGUGUCAUAUUUUUCCUUUUUAACGACGGUUUUUUUAGAGAGUUGGUCGUCUAUUAUCAUCCUCGAUUGCUUUUUUUAGAUCUUUUUGCAGUACAAAGACGUCGUUUUGUAUUUGUUGAUGACGUUGUAUAUUUUAACAACGACGGUUAUUUAGCAUCGUGGUUUAUGAGGGAAAAGAUGACGGUGGAUUCCACGACCAUUGAAAAACCCAAUACACGACGGUGAUUUACCGUCGUCUUUUUGCUUUUUUGUAGUAGUGAAACUUGGUGUGAAAUCAACUCAAAACUUAAAGGGGAGUAUAGAAUUGUAAGUAGUGAGCCUGAUUUACUUUUAAGCCUAGAGUGUUAAUUGUGUAUUCACUUAGUCCUAGAAAAUGACAAGUGUAAGGCUUCAAACAUGGAAAGGCUAAAAUAGCCAAGAGCUAGAAUUAAGACAGAUGGAUGGCUGAGAUUCACUGAUGCUUGUGUGAAUCCAGCUAAGAGCUAACGGUCAUGUAGUACAUGCCGUGUGAGCUCAUUUUCAUAUAUAGAGAAUAUACAAAAGCCUUGCUCACUGAGUUUGUGAGUAAGUAGAGCAAAACUAACACCUGUGACUUGCAUAGUUUCAGAUGGUGGCAUGUCCACGUUCACAAUCACAGCUGCUGAAGAAAUCAGAGUCCCUAUCGUGCUAUUCUACACUAUAGCUGCCUGCAGCUUCAUGGGAAUUAAACAACUUCGCGCUGUGGUUGAAAAAGGACUUGCUCCACUCAAAGGUGAAAUAUAUAACUAUUAAUUGAAGCAAUUGUUGUUUAACUUAUGGUUAACUCUUAACUGCUUGUUUCUAAAAAUGCAAAUGAAAUGUUUCUUCAAUUGAAUUUCAUUUGUCUAUCGCAGAUGAGAGCUGUUUCACAAAUGGCUAUCUGGACACAGUAAUAGAUUGGAUCCCGGGAAUGAGAGAUAUCCGUUUGAGGGAUCUCCCGACCAUCUUGCAAACCACAAAUGCGGAUGACACCAAGUUUAACUUCAUCAUGGAAGCAACUGAUAGAGCUCAUGAAGCUUCGGCAGUUGUUAUUCAUACUUUUGAUGCCUUGGAGCCAGAUGUUUUGGAUGCUCUCUCAUCUAUGCUUCCCCAUGUGUACACCGUUGGCCCUCUUCAAUUGCAUCUCAAUCAGAUACCAGAGCACCCUUUGAAAAUGGGAUACAGUCCAUGGAAAGAAGAAACUGAAUGCCUCGAGUGGCUAAACACCAAGGCACCAAACUCAGUUGUCUAUGUGAAUUUCGGCAGUGUAGCAGUCGUGACACCAGAACAGCUUGUGGAGUUUGGGUGGGGACUUGCAAAUAGCAAGCUUCCAUUCUUUUGGGUAAUUAGACCUAAUCUAGUUUUUGGAGAAUCCGCUAUUUUGCCGCCGGAGUUUGUGGCUGAAACUAAGGAAAGAAGUCUAAUAGCUGGGUGGUGCCCACAAGAGCAAGUCCUUAACCACCCAUCAGUUGGAGGAUUUUUAACGCACAGCGGUUGGAAUCAACAGUUGAGAGCAUUACUGCAGGAGUUCCUAUGCUCUGUUGGCCAUUCUUUGCAGACCAGCAAAUGGACUGUCGCUAUACUUGCAAUGAAUGGGGCAUUGGGAUGGAGAUUAGUAAUGAUGUGAAGAGGGAUGAGGUAGAGAAGCUUGUCAAAGAGAUAAUGGAGGGAGAGAAGGGUAACCACUUGCAGAAGAAGCUACUGGGCCACAUGGUUCUUCAUCCACAAACUUGGACAAUUUAGUGAAUCAAGUGCUAUUAAGAAAAAGCUAAAGAUUUUACCAUAAGCUAAAGAAUAUUGAUGUUAAUUAUUAUUUUUAUUGCUAUUGUCUCAAAUAAUCAACUAGCUAGUUUUUUUAUAUAAAAAAAAUCAUAAUUUUUAAGUCUUUUACUCAGGCCCGUAAAACCUGUGUUACUAUAUCUAGAAUUUUGUUUUGCUCAAAUUAUAUAUUGUUGUCUUCCAUAAAUACUAUAUGCUUCAGUGUUGACAGCUUACAACUCUAAUUGCAAAGACAAUUCAGAUGGUAAAUAAAUAUCUAAGCAAUAGAAAGAAAUAAUGAGAAAAUAUUAUAAUUACCAAAGAAGACAGUGAUAUAUACAAAAGGUUAUACUGCGACACAAAUUCGCCACAAAUCAAGAAAGUUUUUUUUUUUUUUUUUUUGAAGACCUUUAACUUUGAAAGGGGCGAUAACAUACUAAACUCACACACACACUAGAUGGAUGUUAAUUAGGAUUCGAACCCAAGAUCUUUCUUGAGGGAGCAUUUGCUUCAAACCACUACACUAGUGGGUCCUUUGCAAUCAAGAAUGUUUUAGAUCUUCAUCCAUGAUUUUAUACUGUUUAAACAAAUCCUCUUAAUUACUUGACGUAUUCGACAUCUGAUUAAGGUUUCACUCUAAAGUCUCAUCAGUUAUCAAAUUAUACAUAAGUUUGAUUGCUAAUUAAGCUUCUUUGUUGACAGUCUCCUUUGAUCUCCUAAAAUGGCUGCGGUCAAUGCAUCAAUGCUUAUGUGUCAAAUUCUCUUCAACAGUUUCUUCACCUCAGUAAGGAUUGAAAAGAACAAGAAAAAAAAAAAAAAGAGAAGUGGAAGUGGAAGUGGAAGAAACAGCAAUUAAAAAACUGCUUCAGUUUGUCGGGUGUUCUCCCAAACUGAGGUUCUAAGGGGAGCGCAGAUGACCUGGGAAAAAAACGGUGGCUUUUAUUUUGUGUGUGGAAAUUGAGUUUGAUUCUAAGUGUGCCAUCUGUUUAGCUUUCGGCAUGUGUUGAGCAACAUUAAUUUGAUGAUGGUGGUAUGGCUAACCUGGGCCUUACCAUUGAAUAUUUUUUUUUGGGUUCAAAAGUAAGGUCUUCUUUUUUUUUCUUUUCUUUUUUUUUUCUUUUUUCUUUUUUUUUUUUUUUGUGUGUGGACAGAAUUAGAAGGUCCUUACUAUUGAUUUGGCUCCUAGGAAACUUGUCAUCCCCAGUCUUUUUUAUUUUAUUUUUAAUAUAAGCGAUAAUCUAAACUACGAAGGGGAGGGAGUUUCUCGACACAUACACUACCAAAGUGCCAUGGGGAUUUGAACUUGAGAUCAUUGAUCUGCAUAUCAAAACCCUUUUCAAUUAUGCUAGACCUCGUUGGCCACACCAGUCUAUUCUUAAUUUGCUUGUUGAGGAUUAUGUUAGGUUUUGUAAUUAGGAGCAAAUUAUGGUUCACUAGUAUUCGAUGCGAAAACAAGGGCAAAUCUAUAUGCCACUCCAGCCCAGUGCUGAAUUUUUAGAAUAUACAAACUUAGGCAGUUGUCCAAGCCCAAACUAGGUAAAUCAAAUAUUAGUCCACCCCUCUAUUUUAAAAUAAGGCCACCUCUGCAUAAAUCCAACCAUUGGAUUGACUAGAAUACAUGCGAUGCAACUUUGGAGCGUCUUACUGUGAUGAGAUUUCCUUCCAGCAUGUCCUUCAGGAAGCUAACUUCACUGCUGACGCUUUAGCUAAUAUAGGCCACAAUCUGAACACUUCCCACCUUUGGGAUCGGGGUCUUCCUUUAAGUUGCUCGACUCCCUUCUACUUUGAUCUAGUUGGGCCUGUGUGCCCUCGUGGUUUCCGUUUGUAAUUUUUUUGUUUCCGUUUGUAAAUAUUGUUGAUAUGUGGUCAUGUUGGCCUCACCACCCCUAAAAUAAGGCCCCACGUGCCUCCAUAAAGGUAAAUAUAAUAUUGUUUAUUAUAAAAGUGAAUGAUAAUUUCCUUUUGGACUAACGACAUUUCACUCUAUUGAGGUUUAGGGUUUGUAUCGAAAUAGGCCCCGAGAUUUCAAUUUCAUCGAUUCCAAAUCCUGUCUUAACAUCCUCAAUACUUAAUAUAUUUCAUCUAAAGCCAAGCAAGAAAGGAGCUGGUGCUUUUAAAGCCCCACUGGCCUCAACUUCAUGUCAACUAAUGCUUCAACUGCAAGAUCAAAUGGUGUAGAUGAAGCAUAAUGAAGAAAGGGAUCAUUAAGGUAUUUGGUUGUUAGAUUAGCAUUUUGUGAUGUAAUUGGUUUUUGUUGUUGGUUAAUUGGUCCUAGGGUUUAGGCCUUGUUGUUUUUGGUAAAUUGGUCCUAGAGUCUGACUGCAAGAGUGCCUAUGAUCUGCUGGCCAUUCUUUGAUGACCAGAGAACCAAUUGUUAUUAUACUUGCAAUGAAUUGGGCAGUGGCAUGGAGAUUGAUAACAAUGUCAAGAGAGAUGAAGUGGAGAUGCUUGUUAGAGAGUUUAUGAAGGGAGAGAAGGGUAAGAAAUUGAAAAGGUAGGCUGACUGGAAGAAACUAGCAGAAAAUGCAACUGAUCCACAUGGCUCCUAAUCCAUUAACUUAGAUAAUUUAGUCCAUCAAGUGCUGUUAAGAAAAAAAAAACUAGAUGUUAUCCAUAUCCAUAUUCAUAUAAAUAAAAAAUCGCCACAUUAUUGUUGGUAUCUCUAUUAUUAUUAUUCAUGUAUGAUGUCAUGCGGAGUCUAAUAGCAUGUUUUCUUUUCACUAUUAGAAAAGUCACUUAUAAGCCACACAUUACAUGUGGCCAACAUUCAUGUUGGCUACAAACAACCGUGGCCAAAGAGUAUUGCCUUUUACUUUUGGCCACGACAAAAAUGUCUGUAACCUAUAGGUGGUAGAUCCCACCAUGUCUCCCCACCCUUACAAAUGCCUGCAUUCACUAAUUAAAAUAUUAAUAUUUUUUAAAUCCCCGUAAUCAUUACCAAAUGAUGAAGAUAGCUAGUACAUUUUUUUUGUUUUGUGAGCCACUGUUCUUUUAGAGACGUUCUAACAAUUAUCUUCCUUUGUUUUAAUUUCUAUUUCUUAUUUUGUUCUUAAAAAAAAAAAAAUAUUGAAAGAAGUAAAUAAAAUAAACUUUGGAUAAACUGUGGUGAGGGAUUUGGAAUAGUACAUAAAAUAUUGGGAAAUACGCGGCUUUGCCCCUGGCGCACAUGUUUUUUUCACUAAUAUCCCUUCUUUGAAACCUAAUUAAAAAUGCCCUCUAUAAAACCUCCCUAAUGCCUGUGUAUUGCCCUUGUAUCACUUUUUUUUUGUGGUUCUGAGCUCAGAGCUCUCACUCUCACUCACUCACCCACUCACCUCUUCUCUUGUCUGUUCUCUCUCCCUUUCACCCACAUUGGCGACAGCAAUUGUCACCUCCUCAGAACCCACAUCGGCGACGACGACCUCACUCUCUCUCUUUUGGCCGCUAUUCUUCACCUCCAUCUCUCACUCUCUGUCACCUAUUUCAACCGCCGUUCUUCCCCUCCGGUUCAACAAAUUUCUCAAUUUUCUUCAGCAUUCCUGAAAUCCAUAUAACUAGAGAUGACAUCCCAGGUACCCAGCUCAACUUUACGCCUUUACUUUCAUACCCAUAUGUUAGUUGGGUUUUCUUCUGCUUGUUUCAAUUUCAUAUAGUGGUUUAGAAAGUUGCUCAAAAUCCAAAUUCUUGGUACAUCGUUUUAUUUAUCAUGCUUAUUUGCUUGUUCUGAAUAUAUGAUUCUAUUUGUUUGGUUAGGCUGAGUUGAUGAGUGCAUGAAAAAAUGGCCUGUAGGCGUUCGAUGAAUCACCUUAAUGAGGCGCACUAUGGUUUUCUUUGAGAUAUAAACCAAUUGGGACAAUUCUCACGGUAUAUACUUAAAGGUGAACUUCUAGGAGGACCCAAUGAACCCAUCUAAAUGGAAGGAAGAACAUGUGAAUUUUAUUAUAAUUUGUUUACGAAGAUGUCUUUACAGUGCAUAAUGGUUUUGUUAGAUCGCCAUUGACAUUAGUUUAAUUACCUUUUAACAAUGCUUGAGAAAUGUCCCUGUUUUUACAUGAAGACUUACACAAGCACCAUAUUAUGUCAGUUUAUAGUGAAUGGAUACUUGGUUGUGUCAUUUGAUAUUUGGAAUUCUAUUAGAUUUAUUUUCUUAUUUUUCAACUUUUGGGUCAUGCCUUGAGUUUCUUUCAUUUCGACAUCGGCAUUUAACUUGUGCUGUGAACAAGUUAAUGUUAGAUUUCUUUAAUACACAAACUGGAUCUUUCACGCAAAUUGUAACAUGUAUAAAGACAUGAAGACAUACCAAAAGCCAUCUUCUUUGAGUACACAGCUUCUGAACUCAUCCAAUCCGUAGCAGCAGCAAUCCUAGCAAGAACAAGAAUAGCUCAAGACUUAUGCUCUCUCUCAUAAUCUAUUUUAGCUCUCUCUUUAUCAUGAGAAUAGGUUUAGAGAACGUGUCUGAUGAGAGCAGGGCCUUUAGCUUAUAUAGGGCUAGGUCAAGUCGUCUCUACUCAUCACCAAGGGCCGACUUGACUUAUCUUCCAAGCCCAGUUAAUCGAGUCACGCAUAAAUGGAAAUAAAAUAGGACCCCUUAAUAGGCCUCAAAACCCUUCCUUAUUUCACUAGGUUUUGGACCUCAAGGUACAACUUAAUUUAAACUCUUAUCAAACCUGAUAUGACUUAGUAUCUAGUGCACCGAUCUAAAUAGAAAAACAUAACAUUCUCCCACUAGAUCAAGCACUAGAACACUAAGCUUCUGUAUUCCGAAAGGUUUGAUUAUCUUCAUUGGCCAUGAGUCUAAAACAGUUAAGUCCUUCCCCUCAAGCUACCGUGAAAAGUGAUUAAACAAAACGAACUAUAGAGAAGCACUGCUCUCUUUAUUAAAAACAGGUCAUCUAUAAUUACAUGAUGCAAUCUCAAAACACAUGAAGCACCUACAACGCGAACCUUAAUAUGUACUGAUCCUUAAUGUGAAUCUUUAUGCAUUUCAGUACAAGUACCCCUUUACGACUUAGCAACAGUCAAUCCGCAAUGUUAUUAAAAAUAAUAGUAUCUCUAAAGAAACCAUAAACUCACAUGCAUAAUAAGUUUAAAUAGCUAAAUAGUCAAAAUGGUAGAAUUUAUUCAAUAAAAAAUAAAACUGUCAACCAAAUUGACAUCCUUAAAUGCAAAUCCCUUAAUCCAGAAAAACAGCAAAAUAAACAAACCAAACAAACUAGUAAAAAUAUCAUAAUGGGAACAAGACUCCCACUAGAUUGUAGCAUCAAAGCUAGGAAAAAGUCCCAUGCUCUCAACAUUUCUCAGAAAAAGCUUCCGAAGGCAAAAACUUUGUGAACGGAUCUGCAAUCAUAUCUUGAGUUCUAAUAUGAUCAAAUCUGACUAGUUUGUCCGCUACCUUCUCCCUCACUAUUAAAUACUUUCUGUCAAUAUGCUGAAGUUCAAAUGACAUCUUCUUGUUCAUGCAGUGAAAAACAAUCGCAGUGUUGUCAUUAUAUAUCUGUAUUGGUCUAUAAAUCGAGUUCACCACCUUAAUAUCUUUAGUAAAAUUCCUUAGCCAUACUGCAUGAGAAGUGGCUUCAUAGCAAGCUAUGUAUUCUGAAAACAUGGUUGAACUCGAAACAUGCGUAUGUAAAUCAACAUAUAAGCCUUUGUUCUAUGUAGGUCCCUCAAAACCUUCUUUCCAACUAUCCAAUGUUGCAUUCCCGGAUUUGACUGAAAUCUCCCCAUCUAGCUAAUGCACAAGGCUAGGUCUAGCCUUGUACACACUUGUGCAUAAAUAAUGCUUCCAACUAGAGAAGCGUAUGGCUUGUUCCUCAUCUCAUCUUCUUCUUCUUUAUUCUUGGGGCAAUGCUCCUUCUUUAAAUCUCCUUUAGCUAAUGAAACUUUCUGUCCAGAACACAUACACAUGUCAAAACACUUGAGUACCUUAUCAAUGUAUGUCUUCUGUGAUAGGCCUAGAAGGCCUCAAGCCCGGUCUCUCUGAAUCUCAAUGCCCAACACAAGAGCAGCUUCUCCCAAAUCCUUCAUCUCAAAAUUAUUUGAAAGUAGUUCCUUGGUGUCUUUCACUAAAUUGUGGUCAUUUGUAGCCAAAAGUAUGUCGUCGAUAUACAGCACCAGAAAAAUAAAUCGACUCCCACAUUUCUUUAGAUAAAGGCACUGGUUAGCUAUGUUCUCUUCAAAACCAUAAUAGGAAAUAGUUUGGUGGAAUUUGAAAUACCACCUCCUGCUUGCUUGCUUCAGUCCAUAAAUUUCCUUGCCAAGUUUGCAAACUAUAUGCUUUUUGUCCUUCACCAAAUUGUGGUCAUUUGAAGCCAAAAGUAUGUCGUCGACAUACAGCACCAGAAAAAUAAAUUGACUCCCACAUUUCUUCAAAUUAAUGCACUGGUCAGCUAUGUUCUCUUCAAAACCAUAAGAGGAAAUAGUUUGGUGAAAUUUGAAAUACCACCUUCUGCUUGCUUGCUUCAGUCCAUAAAUUGCCUUGCCAAGGUUGCAAACCAUAUGCUCAUUUCCUCCUUUGCAAACUCUUCAAGUUGCCUUAUAAAAUUUUCCUCUUCAAGUUCUCCAGUCAUGGAAGUAGUUUUUAGAUCCAUUUGAUGUAAAAGUAGGUCAUAAUGGCCCACCAAAACCAUAAUGACGUGGAAAAAUCUUUGGUGGAAAUUGGAGAAAAUGUCUCAGUAUAAUCAAUUCCCCCCCUUUGGGUAAAUCUUUUGGCUACCAAUCUAGCCUUAAACCUUUCGAUUCUUUCAUCCUUAUCUUUCUUUUGUUUUGAAUAUCCAGUUCGAGCCUACCAAUUUCUGGCUCUUGUGGGGUUUAACUAAUUCCCAUACUUGAUUAUUCUUCAUGCUCUCAAGUUCUUUCAACAUCGCUUCCCUCCAUUUGUCUGCAUUUUGACUUUCCAUUGCUUUUCUAAAACUUGUUGGAUCAGCCUCAUCUCCAUUGUCAAAUCUGCUUCUUUAAAGUACACAUAAUCUGAAUUUGUUGUGGAUCUUCUUGAUCUGUCAGCUCUCCUCAGUUGUACAGGUUCUUGUGGAUCAUCCAGCUCAGGAUUCUCAACAACUUGUUCUUGUGGUUCAACUGGUUCUUCAAAUUGAGGAUUUUCCAAUACAGUUUUACUUAAAGGAAUCAAGGGUGUAACAUCUUGUUUAGCAUUCUCAAUCACAGCUACAUCACCUUUUUCUUCAAAAUAAAAUCUUUAUUCCCAGUGGCAUUCUCCUCAUGCUCUAUAAACUUUGCACAACCAGUCUCAACAAUUCGGGUACCAUAUUUUGGACAAUAAAAUCUGAAACCCUUUGACCUUGCGAGAUAACCUAUAAAAUGACAUCUUAUCGUUUUAGGAUCAAGCUUCUACUCUCGAGGGUUAUAGAUUCUAGCUUCAGCCUUGCAACCCCAUACAUGAAGAUAUCUUAGGCUAGGUUUUCUGGUAGUCCAAAUUUUAAAAGGUGUCUUAGGUACGCAGUUACUAGGCACUCUAUAGUUUGUUGUUUUUUAUCGCCUCUCUUAAAAUUGUAGGCAAAUCAGUUCUAGAAAUCUUGCUAAGGACCAUGUCCUUCAAGGUUCGAUCCUUUUUCUCAGCCACACCAUUCUGUUGCAAAAUUCAUGGUGUUGUGUACUGAGUAACUAUUCUAUUAUCUUGUAGGUACCUAGCAAAAAGUCCAGCAUGUCGUCCUCCUUCAUCAAAAUGUCUUUAAUCCUUUUCUUAAGCUGCCUUUCUACUUCAGUUUGGAAAAUCUUAAACAUUUCAAAGCUUCAGACUUUUUUAUGCUAUGAGAUACAGAUAACCAAAACGAGAAUGGUCAUCUAUAAAGGUGAUGAAAAAGCGAUUUCCAUGAAUUGUUUGAUGAGGGAAAGGUCCACAAAAAACUAUGUGGAUGAACUCUAAAAGUAUCACUAUCGCGAGUUGCACCUUUCUUCUUAGUCUUAGUGAGUUUUCCUUUGACACACAUAAUACAAAUUUCAUCAUCACCGAAAAAUAGUGAUGGCAAGAUUUGUUCCUUAACUAGAAUUUUCAUUCUUUCUUUUGAAAUGUGCCUUAAAUGCCUAUGCCAUUCAAACUUUACUAUCUUUAUUGUAAUUGAGACAACAUAAUCCAUCUUUAUUAUCUUUGAAUUUUGAGAUACAAACACAUCUUUAUUGAAACCAAAAUAAAACCAAGUCUUAAUAAUCUUGAAACAAAAAUUGAAUUUCUCUUUAUUUAGGGUACUGAAAACUACAUCAUCCAACUCUAAAAGAAAUCCUGAAUUCAACUUAAAAAAUAACUACUCCAAUAAUAUUUAAGGAAAACAACAGGUAGCUAUCUAAUCCUCCUUGUCACAACUUGCUGCCAUGAAAGUGUUGUUCUCUCUAGCAGGGAAUGGGUCAAGUACCACUAUCUCUCUAUUAGUGGCGGCAUCUAAAUUCUCAACAUGUGAUUCAGGUUGGGGUUUAGGUUUCACAGAUUUCACUAGGAGAUUCUUGUAUCGAAGUAGCUUAUUGAUAUUUCUUCCUCUCCUAUAAGCGCAUACACUAAGAUUUAUAGAGGUCCUAAGACUUUUGAGACUGUCCUUUGUAGUCGUGUAUAUCCUUAUGGGCCCUCCAUAUGGUUAACAAUUUCGCUGCGCCUUAACCCUUUUUCGCUCCAGCUCAUCUUCGUGCCACUUCUUAAUUAACUCCACUGUAUUCUUUACUAGAAUGCCAUUCAUGACAAGUUGGCAUGAGUGAUACCUAUUGAAUGCCAGAUUUUUUUUUUUUUUCACCUAAGCUCUAGGAGUUAUACUACAAGACACAUAAGUGAAAAGGCUAACGUGAAUUAAAUAUAGCCAUGAGUGAGAUCAUAAACGAUCUCAUUCAUUCCGACAAUAACUUUAAAACCAAACGUCCAUAAAUUAAAGUUUGAUCUAAUGAAUCUUUCAAUUUGCGUGAAAUUGAUUGAGGGAGUGUUUAAAGCUGUAAGGAUUUGCAAACAAAAGCAUAUUACUUUCCUAGAAAUCGAUUCUCAAUUUGUUAAGAGAAAACAGUUUAACUUUAUUCACAGAACUAACAAAUAAUAUAUGCAAGCGUCCUUAAUUAAGUAUCACACCUUUGUGGCAAGAGAUUACUUAUAGCUUACACAAAUUACAUAUUAUCUUGUGCCAUCACAAAUAAAUUACAUGACAGAUUCUAUUUGUUAAAGAAACUUAUCAAGCAAUUUAGGUAUGAUGUAAUUUUCGAUUAUUUCUUUAGGGUUUGAGUAUUUAGGUUUGGUUUUGUUAUGAAAAGUUUGUUGAUUCCCAUAACAAAGACAAACAUAUAUCUGACUCAGAAAAAUAACCAAACAAAACACAGUUCAACAAGGAAAACCCUAAAAUUGCAGUGAAUAGUGUUUCGGCCGUGAACAGUGUUUUAGAUGUGAACAGUGUUUCGGCAGCGAACAAUGUUUUAGGGGUUCUUAGUGUCCGUUUUUGACACAAAAUACCUUUCUGCAUAGGGAAAGACCUAAUUAACACAACUCACAAAGAAGUUGUGACAUAUGGCCAUUUUUAGGGUUUUAAGGUGAUCUGCUAGGUCAAAAACGUGUUUAAAGUUUUUGAAAAUAUGAAAACCAAAUCAAAACAUGCUUUUCCAUAUUCUUGAUAUUUUCAUAAACAUAUUUAAACCAUCUUCAAAAAUUAAACAUAACCAAAAGAACUGAGCAUGGCAUAAACUGAUAUGAAAUCAUGGUAGACAUGCUUGAACAACGAUUACAGAUAAGUGCGAACAACCUUAAGCUCUGAUACCAACUGUGAGAUUUAUUUAAUACACAAACUGGAUCUUUCACACAAACUGUAACACGUAUAAAGACAUGAAGACAUACCUGGAGCCAUCUUCCUUGAGUACACAGCUUCUGAACUCAUCUAAUCCGUAGCAGCAGCAAUCCUAGCAAGAACAGGAACAACUCAAGACUUCUGCUCUCUCUCAGAAUCUAUUUCAGCUAUCUCUUUAUGAUGACAAUAGGUUUAGAGAAAGUGUCUGAUGAGAGCAGGGCCUUUAGCUUAUAUAGGGCUAGGUCAAGUCGUCUCUACUCAUCACUGAGGGCCGACUUGACUUAUCUUCCAAGCCCACUUAAUCGGGCCACGCAUAAAUGGAAAUAAAAUAGGACCCCUUAAUAGGCCUCAAAACCCUUCCUUAUUUCACUAGGUUUUGGGCCUCAAGGUACAACUUAAUUUAAACUCUUAUCAAAUCUGAUAUAACUUAGUAUCUAGUGCACCGAUCUAAAUAGGAAAACUUAACAGUUAAUACUACAUUGUUUUGUGUCAUUGUGAAAUUGAGAAAUAAAGUUCAUGUUAUUAUUUUGCAGGAAUUCUAAGUGCUAUGAUAUGGCAAAAAAGUAUGUGAACAAACAAAAGAAACAUAGAAAAGGUCUGAUGCUGCUACUUCACAUGGCCAGGUUUUGCUGCUGCUUCGUCUUCCUCAUUUACCUAAAAGAAAGGGUCUAUAUCUCUAGCAUUUGCAUCCAAAUGUCCCUUGCCAUGCCAUGCCCUACCCUGCCCUUCUGUACUAGCUAGCACUACAGCCCCUGUUGUACGUGGUCCCCUGAUUUGGUUCCUUUGAGCCAUGCGAUGCUUUCAGCUUCCUAGAUCCAACUCCAAUGACUAUUUUUUAUUAAGUCAUAAUUUACUGCCUAUAAUUAGGACCUGCGGUUUGAAAUUUUUAAUUUGGAACAAUUCAUGUACUGUUAAAACAUAAAUGGUGCAAAGCCAAUGCCGAGAAUAGAAAAAAUAAGCAAUAUGAUCAUACGGCGGUUAACACCCAUGUAGAUAUGCACUGAUCAUCAAGCUUGAGCAGUAAGGCCUUUCGUCUUGUGCUUGGUAGGUUUGCUUUUCCUCGUCCAUUAGAUGUUUUCCAAUUCUGAGGUGAUAUGAUACUCUUCCUCUUGGCAUUAUUCUCAUGGCUGUGAAAUUUCAGUUUGCAAUGAAUGACUAUAUCAAUCUAAAAGAUUAUUUUUGUGUAGAAAUUGAAUGAAAGUAAAUUGUACUGCAUACCUCUGUGGUGUCUAUGUUCUGGAGUUAAUGUUGUUGAUCAAUGAUCAGCCUCUUUCAUAAUUCUUUCAUUGAUUAAUAUUGUUGUUCUCUCAUUGUUCCGGAGUUAACUUGAUUGAGUUUUGAUGCACUGCUUGAAAUUUUGGACACCAUCUGAGUUAUAAGUUAUGAAUGAAGCACAGACGAAAAACAAUGAACUCUAUUUUUAUAAGAAACUUAGUCUGCUUUGAGUCUUUUCUUGAUACAUAAGUAGGAGAUUUUAAAUUGGGCUUGUUUGUACUUUUGCGCAUCUGCAUAUAUAGCACUAAAAGGAAAGUGAUGGUUCCAAUAGAGCAUAUCAAAGAUCUACCUCAUUAGUACCAAUUUGUCUUUUGUAUUACUCUGUAUAUACAUAUUUAUAUAUGUACAUAUUGUUAUUGCUUUAUUUUGUUUCUGUUGUAGAGGAAGAUGAUGGAUGAAUUUGAGAAGGUGAAGCAACAAUUGGUAGAGUACGAGAUCAUGUCAUGGCCCAUAUCCCACAAGCUUGGUCUCUAGCAAUUUGAAACCCUAACUCUUAAGUCUUGAGAUAAUUGGCUCUCUUUUUUUUCAUAACAGUUGGACCAAGAUUAUUGUUGGCUUCUAGAAGAUUGUUGUCAUUGUGAACCUUCAUCAAUUUGGGGUGGGACAACAUUCCAUUCAGUUGUAAGAAGUGUACUGCAGUUAUAAGGAAAAAAAACAUGUAAUUAAGCAACUAUUUGUGUGUCAGACAGACCAUGUAAUUAUUUAGUCCUCAUGGAAUGAAAUUGAGUUCAAUUUACUUGAGAAAUUUCAGUCUUGAAUAUGUUGUUUUUAUAUAUUUGCAAGUGUAUGCAAUGAAAAAAUACUUUUAUUUAUAUUAUACAUUGAAGAGAGCACAUUAUAUACAUUAUGUGUAUAUAUAGCUCAUUCUUCUUUAUAUUAUGUGUAUAUAUAGCUCAUUCUUCUUGCCUUUGUAUAGGGAUGGCAAUAGGUUGAAUAGGGGGUGGGUAUGCCAUUCCCAUCCCUCUAUCCCCGCAAAGCUUUUUUCCCCCAUCCCUACAUUCAUACCAGCAAUACAGACUUGAAAAAAAAAAAGAUAUACGAGGGCAAUGCAGUAGCAAUACACAAGCAAUAAAGGGCUAUACAAUGGCAAUACACAAACUCCAUACUACCCUUAUAAAUUUAUUCCAACAUAGACUUGAAAAAAAAAUAUAUACGGGGGCAAUAUAGUGGCAAUACACAAGCAAUAAAAGGCUAUACAAUGGCAAUACACAAACUUCAUACUCCCCUUAUAAAUUAUUCCAAGACUUAAAAAAAAAGAUAUACGGAGGCAAUACACAAGCAAUAAAAGGCUAUACAAUGGCAAUACAGUAGCAAUACACAAGCAAUAAAAGGCUAUACAAUGGCAAUACACAAACUUCAUACUCCCCCUAUAAAUUUAUUUCAACAUACUUUAAAAAAAAGAUAUACAGGGGCAAUACACAAGCAAUAAGUAGCUAUACAUGUGCAAUACAUAUCAGUCAUGGCAUUUGCCAAUUAAAUCAUUAAUUUGGUUACAUUUGUAUUUUUUUCUUCUUUGCAAGGGGGACGAUAAAACCAUGGAAACUAUAGAUUGACAAAUUUCCUUCUAACUUGACUUUCAUAAAUUGAUGAACUAACAAUGUUAUCUCAUUACAUCUUAAGAUAUACAUAAGAAAGUGGCAAAAAAUAAAAAAUUUACAUCUCCUGUUGGUCUGGAAUUUUAACACAAUUUAUAUCUAUAAGAAAAAUUCCAAGACAUGUCCUCUUAGACCCGAAUUCAAGCUAAAAGUUAGCAAUUUCCUCCCCAAAAGAACCCCACCACUUGAAACAAGACAAUCUUCCAUAUGUAUAAAAUGGAUCAAAAAUGCAUAUUAGAAGCAAAUCAUUCAAUCACAGUGGAAACAAAAACAUAACAUUCAAUUACAACUGAAACCAAUUUCAAAACAAAAACCAAUACCGAAAUUCAUAUAGAUUGUUGGCUUUUCUAAAUGACCCAAUUCUUCAUAUGGCAAACUUUCACAAGACAGUACCAUUGCAAAAUUAAAGUUCAUAUUCAUGCACACAAUUUCAUACUACUCAAUUGCAAUUCGAAAGUAAUAAACAUGGGUGAAGUGAAUGUGUGUCUUGGCAUGCAAACAAAAAUACAAAUCAGGAAAUCAUCAAUAGUGCAUUUGGCAUUGUUCAAACAGUUAAAGAAGCACAGUAUCAGAGAAGAAGAAGAGCAAGACAAUGGAACUAGAUAAAUGCAAGAGUUAUCAACAAACCUUCAAGUUUUCCAAGAACCCUUUUCACAACACCAACACAACCUUGAGGAUUGUAGACUGCACCAAAACAAUAGAGAAAAUAAAGAUCCAACAUAUGCCAACUUUACAGUAUCAAAAGUAUGUUAAAAUAUUGGCAUUCUCAUAAAACUUACAAACUCUCCAAUCACAUUCAAAAGAAGUAAACAAUGAGAAUCUUGCAUUUGUUGCUGGUCUAUUGGUUUCAAAGGUUAAAACCCACAUUACUGUUAUUUCAGAGAGCCUCUAUGAGUUUUAUAUGUAUUCUUACAGGUUGCUCAGAAAAGCCAGAAUUCCUAAUUUGAUAUAUCACCUAAGUGAUUUCACAGACAAAUCACAAUCACAAAAGAGUGAAUACACCACUUUCAAGGAGGUCUGCAAGUCCAAGCCUUAAUCACAAACAAUGUAUGCAUGAUUUCAGAGACAAAUCAUAAGCACAAAACAGUGUAUCCAAGUCCAAGAGCUUGACAACCACAGGAAAUAGUUGGUAAAUUUCAUUCAAUCACAGAAACAACAAACAAACCACAGCAGAAACCCAUUAAUGUCUCAUUCAAAAUAGUGAAAGUAAUCACCCAAUAAUCUCAAUCAAUAACAGAAACCCAAAAAAAAAACAAAACAAAACCAAUAUUAGAACUCACCACAGUGAAGAUCGAAGAUGAAGGUGUUGUGGGUUUGUGAUGGAAGUCGACGACGAAGGUGGAGAGUCACGAUUAUGGCUUCAUUUUGGAGGCCGACAACAGAGGUGGCGAGUCACGCCUUGGCUAGGGUUCGAUUCUGAAUUUGGGGUUCAACCUUAAGGUUCAAAUUAGCUCCUAGUUUGAAGAUAUAACUAAGUGAAAAUUGAAUUAAGCGAGAUUCUACGGUGGAGAUGGAUUUUCUGUGAGGUUUGAAGAAGAGGAAGAGAAAGAGACUAGGGAGAAGAGGAAGAGGAAGAGGAAGAGCAACGACUGAGAAGAAGAAAAAAAGUGACAGAUGGGCAAUAGACUGUCAAUAGGGAGUUUUUAUAGGGGGUAUUUGUGAUUAGAUUUCAAAAUGGGGAUAUUAUUGAAAAACUUAAUUGCGCCGGGACAAAGCCGCCAAUUUCCCUAAAAUAUUAGCUACGGAUCUCCGUCGGCCACGGGGAUUAUGUGUAAUUGUGUUUCAGCCACAAUUGCACCGUGACUUAUGUAUUUGAGGCCACAUGUGCAUAAAAAUCAAGAAAAAGAAUAAGACAAACACUACCGAAGACUUAAAAUCAAGAAAAAGGAUUCUUAGUUAUUUAUGUUCCACUUUGCUACUUCAUCUAAGUCUAAGUCGUUUUGUCGUGAUUGAUCAACUGACUUUUCUUUUUGUCGAAAAUUUGACCAUUUAUCAACCAAUGAUUAACUUGUAGAUUAGUUCUUUAUGUUGCUAGACUUCUUUUUUGGACAUUAUCCUCAGUCAGAGAGCCAAAACAGGACACAUUGAAGUAGCUAAAACAGGCCCAUGGUAGCUCAGUUUUGCUUUAUAAAAAAUCUGCAUUUGCAAUGCGCACACAAAAGCUUAGAUGGAUUCCACAGAAGUAGCUACUAAGACACAUGCUGUUUGCAUUCCAUUCCCUGCUCAAAGCCAUAUAAAGGCAAUGCUUAAAUUUGCAAAGCUCCUCCACCAUAGAGGUUUUCAUAUAACCUUUGUUAACACAGAGUUCAAUCACAAGCGCUUUCUUAAAACUCUAGGAUCCAAUUCCCUAGACGGCUUGCCUGAUUUUCAAUUUUAAGCCAUCCCGGAUAGCCUUCCAGAUUCAAAUGAAGACACCACACAAGAUGUCACUUUGCUUUGUGAGUCCGUCAGAAAAAAUUUAUUGGCUCCCUUUCAUACCCUCCUUGCAAAACUCAACAAUGAUGCCAUAGAAACAUCUACCAAUCCUCCAGUGACUUGCAUAGUUUCAGAUGGUUUCUUGUCCACGUUCACAAUCACAGCUGCUGAAGAAAUUGGAGCCCCUAUAGUGAUGUUCUACACUGUAGCUGCCUGCAGCUUCAUGGGAUGUAAACAAUUUUGCGCCGUGGUCGAAAAAGGACUUGCUCCACUCAAAGGUGAAAUAUAUAACUAUUAAUUGAAGCUAUUGUUGUUUAACUUAUGGUUAACUCUUAACUGCUUGUUGCAAAUGAAACGUUUCUUCAAUUGAAUUUCAUUUGUACUAUUGCAGAUGAGAGCUGUUUAACAAAUGGCUAUCUGGACACCGUAAUAGAUUGGAUCCCAGGAUGAGAGACAUCCGUUUAAGGGAUCUUCCGACCUUUGUGCGAACCACAAAUCCGGAUGACAUCGUAUUUAACUUCAUCCUGGAAGCAACCGAUAGAGCUCAUGAAGCUUCAGCAAUCGUUAUUCAUACUUUUCAGACAGAUGUUUUGGAUGCUCUCUCAUUUAUGCUUCCCCAUGUUUACUCCAUUGGACCUCUUCAAUUGCAUCUCAAUGAAAUACCAGAACACCAUUUGAAAAUGGUGGGAUACAGUCUAUGGAAAGAAGAAACUGAAUGCGUCGAGUGGCUAAACACGAAGACAACCAAACUCAGUUGUCUAUGUGAAUUUCGGCAGUAUAGCAGUCAUGAGUCAUGACACCAGAACAGCUUGUGGAGUUUGGGUGGGGACUUGCUA
rnacentral:lncRNA from 1 species